rnacentral:lncRNA from 1 species
CAAUAAUUUAGCCAAGAUUUCGAUAAGAUUUUCAACCAAUCACGUAAUGCCACGUGGCAUUGUCCAAAACCUCAUCCUUUCUUUUUUUUUCCAUAUAAACCCUACAUCCCUACAUUCAUCCUCACACCAAGCUCAAUCCUUCUUUUUAGCUCAAAAUCCUUGUUCAUCGUUUUCAAAUCUUGAGUUCUUAUUACAAUGUCUUCUUCAAGGAGAGUGUAUAAACAGUUGCAAUAGCAACAGAAAAGGUUGUUGGCACAACAGGCAAAAUUGGCCAAUCUCGAGGAAGGUGGAGGUGGAGAUGAGGCUUUCUUCAUGGAGGAGGAUGAAGAUGAUCACCAUAGAAGGCAGAGGGCCUCACAUUCCCGCCGUGUCAUGGAAGCCGUGGGCUAGAUAGCCAAACCAAGACGUGCUGCAAACCUCAAUAGAAAAAGGGAAAUACGAGGUAAAGAUCUCUUGGAAGAUUAUUUUAUUCCCAACAGCAUAUUCCCUGAUCAUGUUUUUAGACGUCAUUUUAGAAUGCAACGAAAUUUGUUUGACAAAAUCAUGAGUGCUAUUUGCAACCAUUAUCCAUACUUUGUGCAAAAAGAUGAUGCUUUUCAUGUUCUAGGUCUUAUUCCCGAGCAAAAAAGUACGGCCUCCUUGCGAAUGCUUGCAUAUGGAGCAUCUGCAGAUCAGGUGGAUGAGAUCGCGAUGAUGGGAAGAACAACUGUUUUGGAGUCCCUGAUGUGGUUUUGCUCUACAAUUGAAGUCAUCUACACCAAUGAGUACCUCCAGACACCCAUGCCAAGGGACAUGCGAAGGCUUCUGAGGAAAGGUGAGAUGCGAGGCUUCCCUGGCAUGAUUUAAAGCAUCGACUGCAUGCACUGGACUUGGAAAAACUGUCCAAGUGCGUGGCAAGGAGCUUAUGGCGACAGAAAAUAAGCCAAAAGCAUCAUUUUGGAAGCGGUGGCUUCAUUUGAUACAUGGAUUUGGCAUGCUUUUUUUGGUGUUCCAGGAGCUCAGAAUGACUUAAAUGUCCUUGCCCAAUCCCCAGUGUUCGACGAAAUGCGGCAAGGAAAAUCGCCGAGAUGCAUAUAUUGGGUUAAUGGUACCCAAUACGAGGGAUCAUACUACCUUGCAGAUGGCAUUUACCCAAGGUGGUCAACAUUUGUCAAAACAGUGCCACAUCCAUAGACUGAAAAGGAAAAACACUUCGCAAAAUGUCAAGAAGGGUGUAGGAAAGAUGUCGAGCGUUGUUUUGGUAUCUUGCAAGCUCGUUGGGCGAUUGUCAAGGCUGCAGCUAGAAUGUUUGAUGUCGAGGCUCUUCGAUCCAUCAUGAUGAUGUGUAUUAUUCUCCACAACAUGAUUGUUGAAGAUGAGUAUGAUUAUGAUGUUGUCGAUGAAUAUGAGCCGGAUCCGAUGAACAACUCAAGAACACGUAUCUACUGUGCUCAUGACCGGACCAAAGAUCCUGUGCAACAAGAGCCAUUGGAACGUGAUGGACGUUACAAUGAAUUGAUCGUUCAGCGGUACACUGAUGUGCAAAAGCCAUACUGGCACAUAACACGCCAGAAUGACUUGAUUGAGCACUAGUGGGGAUUGCAUGAAGGCGAAGAUAAUUAAAAUGAGGCUUGUGGUUGAAGAAUAAAGUGUUUUUUUUUUUUAAGUUUAUGUAAUUCUAUGUAGUGUGUUUUGUUUUUAAGUGUAUUUGGUGAGUUUAUGUAAUCUUAUUUCAUGUGUUUAAAUAAAGUACAAAAAUAAAUAAAUAAUCACAUUAAAAUUGCAUAAUAAAUUAAAUAAAAAUAAAUAAAAUUUUAAAAAUAAAUAAGAAAUAACAUAACAAUUACAUAAGAAAUUAAAUAAAGUUCAAAAGAAAAAAAAACAUAAGAAAUUAAAUAAAGUUCAAAAGAAAAAAAAAGAAAAAACAUAAAAAUUACAUAAGAAAUUAAAUAAAAUUCUAAAAAAAUAAGAAAUUACAUAAAAAUUAUACAAAGUCUCUGGAGCUAGGAUAUGUGGUGCUAGGAUCUUGGUUGCUAUGAUUUGUGUAGCUAGAACCCCCUUGACUUGUUUCCGCAUCUCUUGCACGCCUCCUUCGAACGACAUCUCUUUUUUCCGAUGUCCAAAAAUAUUUUGAAUUCGGAGCCAGUCCUACUAGAGACUUGCUCAUAGUGUCACGAUCUACUUGAGCCAUCCUUUCUUCUCUAAGCAUUUCAUUUUCUCGAUGAAGUGCUUGUCUAACUAGCUCGUUCUCUCGAUUAACUAUUUCUCUUUGUCUUUCAACCGCCGCAUCACGGGCCUUAGUAGCUACUAUUAUUGCUGCCAUAGCAACUUGUUCCUCAUCUCUAGCCUUUUCCCAUGCCAUGUUCAGUUCACCUUGGUGAGCAAGUUCCUCCAUAUAUUUAGUGUAAUCAUUUUUGGAAGAACUACCUUUUUUCUUUGAUGCCUUUUUACCUUGAAGCCUGAGGGACUAACGAGUUGGUUGGGUCUCGGGCACUUGUUCAGGCAUCCCUUCCGUGUCUUGAAAUGUGUCGGCUUCUUGUUCAACCGUGUCUGGUUCUGGGGAACUAUGUAGACCCAAGCCAUGCAUGACAACUUCUGGACCGAUUGCCACAAUUUUGUAUUUAGGGCAAUCUUUGACAAUUUCCCAACAUUCCCAUUUGUUGAAUGAUUUGUUCUGGUUCUUUGAAUUGUAGAAUGCUUGAGCUUGUAGUGUCUAUAAAAAUGUGGGAUAAGAUAGUGUUAAAAAAUGCGGGUGUAACACAAAUAAAUAAAUUCAAAUAUUGAUGCGGGUGGACUGCAUAUAAAUUACAUAAAAUGACAUAAGAAAUUAAAUAAAAAUUACAUAAGAAAUUAAAUAAAUUAAAAUUUUGAUGCGGGUGGAAUGCAUAUAAAAAUUACAUAAGAAAUAACAUAAAAAUUACAUAUGAAAUUAAAUAAAUUAAAAUAUUGAUGUAGGUGGAAUGCGUAUAAAUAAAUAAAAAUAUUGUCACCUGAUCCGCUAAACUUGUCCCACUACGAAGGUUACUGGAAGCAUGAGAGAUGGCGUUUUUCCAACAAGUAAAGGAUGCGUUGAGUUUUUUCCAACGACCUUGAAGACCUUGACUAGUUUUGGCGUCUUUUCCAUGUACAUCGCAAAACGCUUUUGUAAUUUUACUCCACAUUUCUCGCUUAUCCAUCUCAUUACCCAUAAUUAGGUCAUGAGUAGUGUGAACCCAACAUUCACACAACAUAACAUCUUCAAUGAGCUUCCACGAAGACAUUUUUUUUCUCUUAAAGUAUAGAAAAUAUUGAAAUGUAGAUAAAAUAGAAAGUGUAGAAAAUAUUGAAAUGUGGUGCACUGGCGGAGGCAUAUGAGGACUAGAGUAGUCCUAGGCCUACCCUGACUUGAAAAAACAAGAUUAGUAUUACACCUAUUUCUAUUGCUUUGCAACUCUUCUCAACACUUAUCUAAUUAUUUAUCUAUCUUUUCAUCCAAAUCCCAUCCUAGAAUUAAGAAUAAUAUUUCAAAUGGUCAGUUAUUACAAAUCAAUAAAACUUUUAAAUUAAAACCCAUCAUUCACUUUUAACUAAUAAAAUUGUCUUUCACUCAUGCACUAACAGAGCUAGUCCCCAUAUUCUUCUUGAAUUUCAUAUAUUUAGUCAUUCCAAAUCCCAAAUUUAUUGAAUAAAGAACAAAUAAGGUUUGUAAAACUCUAUUAUUCUCUAUAAAAUAUUUGUUUCUAUUCUAUCCUUCCUUACUUGAGUUUUAGGGUUUGCAAAAUUUUUAGUAAUUUUCUCCAUUGAUUUUACUAAUUCUUUCAGUAGUAUAGAUGACAUCAUGCAAUGGUUUUAAAUAUGAAAUUCGUCAAGAAUAAUUAUGAUUACUAUAAUACAUAUGUUAAUUUUGACUACUUAAUUAUUUGGAUAUUUUUAUGAUGUUUUUGCAUUCGUAAUUUUAUAACCACUAUUUGUUUUUUUUUCUUUUUCUAUACUUGUGUGAGGCCCCUCCUCACAAGAAAUAUUGGCUCCGCCAUUGAUGUGGUGUAAGGUGGAAGAUGAGGGUUAGGUAUUUAUAGAAAAAAAAUUAACAUUUUUAAAAAUUUUCUGUAUUUUUUUAUAAUUUUUAAUAAAUUUUAAUAUGGUUAAUUAAUCUGGACCGUUGGAUUUGAAAAAUAUUCAAGUCCAAGAGCCAAGGAGUUGCCCCAUGGCCAACGGUCAUAUUUCUGACCGUUGGGCCUUUUUUAUUAUUUUUAUUUUUAUUAUUUGUGAAAAAAAAAAUGUGGAUCGUUGAUCUGUGAUCAGACGGUCCAUUUUAAAAGUCAAAUUUAAAUUUUUUUUACCGUUGGAAAUCCAGCGAUCUACAAAAAAUAACCGUUGGAAAUCCAACGGCACUGAGGAGCGCCGCGUAGCCCUAAUCCGGGUGAACACAAGUGGGCUAACAAGCUGGCCCCACCGCCUGCACCCUUGUCUCCUACUCGCGCCCAGUCGCAAGUGUGCUGCACGCGCCAGCCAAAUAGGCCGGCCUCUGGGUCUGUCCGAAAUGGGCUGGUCUGUUGCCUAGCUUGGGUUGGGUGCCAGGCUGUUUUGCGGGCUGGACCAAAUUGACAGGGUGUUGGGCUGCUUUUUGGACUGAGUGCUGGGCUAAAUUGUGUGGCGGUGGACUUGCUCUUAAUGAGACCCAAAAAAAGUAAAUGACUGCCAAUCCCAUCCCUCUUUAUCUCACUGUUCUUUCGCCCUUCCUUCAAAUUUUCAAUCUUCUUGAAAAGCCCAAGCUUAAUAAAUAACCCUAAUAAAAAUCGAUCGCAUCCAAAAACUACCACGACGGCACGCAUCUCGGAAAAUGAUUGCAGGGAAGGUGUUUGACAAAAAGCCUCGGAGAGAGAGAGUAAACAAACGCAUAAUUAUCCCGUAUCCAACGACAAAAAACCCAAUUAUUUACUCGGCCGGCUAAAGAGUAAAAAAAAAGGCCCCCUCUGCAAUCACUGAUUGAUGCUUUUAAUCGCUUCGACCCCAUGGCAUUGUACCCACACAUGCCGGCCUCUUCUGGGUGUCCCAGUUUUAUAUAUACUUUGCUUUGCUCAUGCAUUGGGGGCGUUGUGAUCUGUGCACCCUUUUCUGGGUGUUUGAUUAAAUUUGAAUUUGUGUUGGGUUUUUUUGUUUAUGGUCUCAUCCUGUCUUCUGGUGUUUGGUGGUGUGGUGGUGUGGUGGCCGUGGGUGUGGGUGUGGGGUUUUGGGGUUUUGUCAUUUGAUGAGAGAGAGAAAGAGCCACACGGCAUUUUUUUGACUAAGUUGGACUUGAAUUCCUGCUUACGUUGCUUGGUGCUGUUCGUGGCGGGAAUUUCCGUGGGGAAUGCUUCCUGGCUGACGAGCACACAGCUCCCCGAGAGGUUGGCGCCAGUUGAUAUUUUCUGUCGGGCUUCUGCUUUACUGGCGGGCUUGUCGGGCAAAGCCUGUCGGGCAAGGCUUGUCGGGCAAGGCUGAAAGAGAAGGACAGAGUUAACUUUGAAAUGUGCCUUUGUGAGGCCUUAGGUGUAGGCCUUGAGGCUCACGAUCAAGAUUAACUUUGAAUUGCUCACGCGUGCCACUACCAUCUUCAGCAUGGCAGAUGUAGAACGGAUGUUUGAGUUUUAAUUAUAUAUAUUCGAGAGACUAUGUUAGUUAUUGACAUGUGCCUUUGUGGGGCCUUAGGUGUAGGCCUUGAGGCUUCCCAUAAAUAACUAACUUAGUACUCAAACACAUAAGGUUCCUUUUGUUGGUUAUAUAGGUCUUAUAACCAUCAUACUUCUGAUUACCUGAGCUCAAAGAGCAGAAUAAAUCCAAAUAGGUGCCUUUAUGGGGCCUUGAAUAGGCCUUGAGGCUUCCCAUCAGAACCUCUUUUGUACUCAAUGUUCUUGCCCGAGAAAUAGGAUGAAUCCAAAUAGGUGUCUUUGUGGGGCCUUGAAUAGGCAUUGAGGCUUCCCAUCAGAAUUCAUCCCGUACUCAAACGUUAUAUGGUCAUCAUAAUAUAACAGAAAUAAAACUAAGUGGCAGGUCGAUUACUUGCGCCCCAAGUAACUUCGGACUUCUUGUUUAUCAAAGCUUGUCGUGGAUGGGUUAAGUCCACAUCAGGUUCUUUUUUAUGCCUUGAGGCCAAGGACUUUUUAGGGUGAUCAAAUCUUAUAUGCCCGAGGGCUUAGAACUUAGAUCUGGCUUAAACUGUGAAGACAUAUUCAAAUUGGAUUCAAGCACUGAGAGAGUCUUUUAAUAGCCAUAUUACUAGAAAUAACUUGGAUACCACUUGAAGUAUACAACAUAUUGCUAGGCUAAUGAAUGAAAAGACAAAAAACAAAGAAGGUCGGGCAAGGUUUAACCUUGUCGCGCAAGGCUGAUCGUCUUGCAACUUCCUAUCUUUGUGGGUUAACAGAAGGUUUGAAAGCUUAGAAAAGGGGUUGGGAGGUGAGUUUGUAGAAAGAAAAUCGAUACUACAGCAGGCGUUGAACAUGGUAGCAGAGCUAUUACAAAGGGUUUGUCCCGAAAGGGAUAAAGGCUUAGGCUGACUACAGCUUCGUUUUGAAGGCAAAUCUGGCUUUGAGCAGAGUUUGUGCUUUUGUUUGUUUGUUUGUUUGAGUGUCCCGAAAGGGAUGAAGGCUUGGGCUGACUACAGCUUCGUUUUGAAGGCAAAUCUGGCUUUGAGCAGAGUUUGUGCUUUUGUUUGUUUGUUUGAGUGUCUUUGAUUCUGACUUCUCUUUCUCCUUUUAUAGCCACCUUGGCUUGGCCUCCUGUAGCAAUAAUCUUGCCCGAAUGCAGUUUGAAGGAUAGUGACUCAUCAGCUAUUUACUUGUACUGCCAUCAUAAAGUACUUUUAGGCUGAUUAGCUGGCUGGUCUAUACCACUUGGCCCUUGGGUAGGUGAGCAAGUGGUGCAAAUGAUCUGCACCUAGUCGAGAAAGGCCAUUUCUGCUUUCUAGGUCUGGGCUGAGCUUCGGGCUUUUCUUUCUCUUUUUGGGCCUACUCCCUUCUAAGCCCAAAGUUUAAAUUUCAACCCAAACAGGUGCCAUGCCAUCUUUAUCCCCUUCUUUUCACUUUUGAUUAAACAACUAGUUUAUGUCUGUGUCUGUGUUCUCCUCUCCACCCAAUUUCAUGAAGCUCAUGUUUUCCUUUUCCUAAAGAGAGAGGGUGAAAGGUUCUCUCUUCCCAUACCAACCAUGGCUCCAGCUGGGAAGGUUUCUGAGUUUUGCAGAAAAGGCAUUGACUGGUAAUCUCUCUCUCUCCCCCUCCCUCCCACUCCCCUACACCGGUUUCAUGAACAGAAGUCAACACCUUUUCUUCAAUUCUCUUAAUUAUUGUUCUUUAAGGCCAAAUUCUUAUUAUAUAUCAGUUUGAAUUCAGAUAGAAUUCUGUUAAUCAGUUUCAAAUAAUUCCCUUUUUGUUAAAUUGCAAAUUGUUUAUUUCAUUGGUUUGUACAAUUGAUGAACAUUAAUACAACCCCUUAUCUUCAAGACUUCAAUUCUCACAUUUAUUUGGGACUUAAUCAGACUGUGAUUAUAUUCAACCACAGCCCUUCAAUUGCAUAUUUGAAUUCAGAUAGAAUUUUAUAAUUCAAUAGGAAGUAGACGCUCUUAGUUAGAGCUCAAAUUGAUUAUUGCAUUGGUGUAUGUACACUUUCAUGAACCCCUUUUCUAAGUUUUCUAAGUUUAAUCCUCCAAAUUAUUGUUCUUUAGGGAUUUAAAUUUAAUUUGAUAUCGAAUUUAUAGCCUUUAAGGACAGAGGGCCAGAGUUUGUGAUAUUUAUAUUCAAUUCUAUGAUUCAGUUCAGAACUUCAGAUAGAGUUUUAUAACUCAGUCUCUUACAGCAUCUCCAAUGGAGACAUGCAAAUUUCAGAUGUAAAAGCCUUAUUUACAUCUCAUUUUACAUUUCCGAGGACAUGCAUUUCCGGGGACGUGUGAAUGUUAGUUCUACUCCACUGGGAGAGAUGUAAAUUUAGGAUUACAUUUAUUGUUCUCUUUGAUUGGUGGGGCCCACAUCUAAAAGAUGUAAUAGAAGAUGUAAAUUUACAUUUUUAUCUAUAUCUUUUGGCGAAGAUGGAUAUUUUACAUCCUGCCAUAGGAGUGUUUUCUGGCCAAUUAAAAAUGUGAAACGCAAUUUCAAGGUAUUUUGCAUCUUAUGUUCUUACAAACCCUUUUUUGGUACAAUGGAAAUUGAUUGUUUCAUUGACUUAAUGUAUGGAAUUGGAGAAGCUAUGUAAUUGAUGUGGUGUUUUCUUCUUUUCUCUGUCAGGUUAUGCAAAUCGCGAUUGCCGAGUGAUAUAACUAUCGUGGUGGACGGCGUGAACUUCCACCUUCACAAGGUAUGCACCUAUCAUUUUCUAUGGUGGAUUAUGGAUUUUUUUUUUUUUUUUUUUUUUUGGAAAGCGUGGAUUAUGGAAUUUUGUGAUUAAGAGUGGAUAUAAACCAGUACCAAGGUUUCUUUUUUGGGUAAAUACUAAUAACAAGAUUUAGGUUAUUCCCAAACCCCAGAAAUAAAUUGUUGACUGGCUUUUUAAGAUUGUCAAAAGCAUUUCAGUUACCCUGGUAGUUGGUGGUGCAAUAUAACUCACAAACUUUCAAUAUAUGUUUCUAUAACGACAGAAGGUAUUUGUCUAAUGAAAGGCGCGUUAAUGUGGACUGUGGAAUAUGUAAGGAUGUCUGUAUUCUGGAAAUCAAAGGUUAGAGCAUUAUUGCUUCAUGUCACUAAUAGUAGUUACCAUGUUUCGUAGAUUUAUAUUCUGGAUUUUUUUCUAUAGUUGUGUCUGUUCUGGCGUUGCUCUCAUUGUUGUCACUUUUGUUAAGGAUAUUUCUGUAAUCAAAUCACAGUUAUGGUGAAUUCUUGGAAUUAUUACUUAUGACAAUUCUUAACUCUCCAGCUUCCUUUCUGUUGGAAUUUAUUAAGUUUAUUUAGGAAAUUAAUUAGAGAUUUGAUUUGAUUUUGUAGUAGGGUAUUUUUGGCAUUUACGCAUUAGGGUUUCUUAGGUUUAUUGCUCUAUAAAUAGAGCUUGUAAUUUAGUUUGAGAAUCAAGCUAGUCACAAUGUAGUCUCUUAGGGUUUUAUAGCCGUUUCGGCAUUCUCGUUCUUUUAAUAAUAUUCUUUCUAUUUUGUUAGUCUUGUUCGUUGCACACUUUAAUAUUCAACUUAGUAUCGGAACGGGUUCGAUCCUUAGGAUUCAAUCCGUUCUCGUUGGUAUCAAUUUGUUUGCCUCUGUCGUUGUUCGUUUUAGAUUUGUUAGUUGGUAUUGAUUGUUUGUAAGGAAAAGAAAAAUGAAAGAGAAAAAGAAAAAGAAAGAAAAGGUUUUGCUUGCAAAGGAGAAGAUCCCCCAGCAAAUGAAAAAAAGGGGACGAAGAAGAAAAGAAGAAAAAAAAAACCACGAGAAGAAAAAAGAGGAAGAAGGAGAAAAGAAAAAAAUAAGAAAGAAAAAAAAGAAAAAAGAAAUUAUUUUUAGAUGUUUGUUUUAGGCCUGCAUGAAUUGUUGGUUGGCCUGCUUGGAAUUGUGACCACUCGAGUGAUAAGAAUUUGUUAAUUGCUGGAAUUGCUUGUUUGCUUGCCUGCUCGCUUGGAUUGUUCGUUUGUUCGCUUGAUUGCCCGCUUGCCUUGUCGUGUCCACCUAACGGAGCUUGUCUUGUCGUGUCCGCGUAACGGAGCUUGCAUCUAAAUUUGCUUGUUGGCAACCUCAUGACGUGUACUGCCAUGAGUUUGACGGGGGGUGUUGGAAUUUAUUAGGUUUAUUUAGGAAAUUAAUUAGAGAUUUGAUUUGAUUUGAUUUUGUAGUAGGGUAUUUUUGGCAUUUACGCAUUAGGGUUUCUUAGGUUUAUUGCUCUAUAAAUAGAACUUGUAAUUUAGUUUGAGAAUCAAGCUAGUCACAAUGUAGUCUCUUAGGGUUUUAUAGCCGUUUCGGCAUUCUCGUUCUUUUAAUAAUAUUCUUUCUAUUUUGUUAGUCUUGUUCGUUGCACACUUUAAUAUUCAACUUAGUAUCAGAACGGGUUCGAUCCUUAGGGUUCAAUCCGUUCUCAUUGGUAUCAAUUUGUUUGCCUCUGUCGUUGUUCGUUUUAGAUUUGUUAGUUGGUAUUGAUUGUUUGUAAGGAAAAGAAAAAUGAAAGAGAAAAAGAAAAAGAAAGAAAAGGUUUUGCAUGCAAAGGAGAAGAUCCCCCAGUAAAUGAAAAAAAGGGGACGAAGAAGAAAAGAAGAAAAAAAAAACCACGAGAAGAAAAAAGAGGAAGAAGGAGAAAAGAAAAAAAUAAGAAAGAAAAAAAAAGAAAAAAGAAAUUAUUUUUAGAUGUUUGUUUUAGGCCUGCAGGAAUUGUUGGUUGGCCUGCUUGGAAUUGUGACCACUCGAGUGAUAAGAAUUUGUUAAUUGCUGGAAUUGCUUGUUUGCUUGCCUGCUCGCUUGGAUUGUUCGUUUGUUCGCUUGAUUGCCCGCUUGCCUUGUCGUGUCCACCUAACGGAGCUUGUCUUGUCGUGUCAACGUAACGGAGCUUGCAUCUAAAUUUGCUUGUUGGCAACCUCAUGACGUGUACUGCCAUGAGUUUGACGGGGGGUGUUGGAAUUUAUUAGGUUUAUUUAGGAAAUUAAUUAGAGAUUUGAUUUGAUUUGAUUUUGUAGUAGAGUAUUUUUGGCAUUUACGCAUUAGGGUUUCUUAGGUUUAUUGCUCUAUAAAUAGAGCUUGUAAUUUAGUUUGAGAAUCAAGCUAGUCACAAUGUAGUCUCUUAGGGUUUUAUAGCCGUUUCGGCAUUCUCGUUCUUUUAAUAAUAUUCUUUCUAUUUUGUUAGUCUUGUUCGUUGCACACUUUAAUAUUCAACUUAGUAUCAAAACGGGUUCGAUCCUUAGGGUUCAAUCCGUUCUCAUUGGUAUCAAUUUGUUUGCCUCUGUCGUUGUUCGUUUUAGAUUUGUUAGUUGGUAUUGAUUGUUUGUAAGGAAAAAGAAAAUGAAAGAGAAAAAGAAAAAGAAAGAAAAGGUUUUGCAUGCAAAGGAGAAGAUCCCCCAGCAAAUGAAAAAAAGGGGACGAAGAAGAAAAGAAGAAAAAAAAAACCACGAGAAGAAAAAAGAGGAAGAAGGAGAAAAGAAAAAAAAUAAGAAAGAAAAAAAAAAGAAAAAAGAAAUUAUUUUUAGAUGUUUGUUUUAGGCCUGCAGGAAUUGUUGGUUGGCCUGCUUGGAAUUGUGACCACUCGAGUGAUAAGAAUUUGUUAAUUGCUGGAAUUGCUUGUUUGCUUGCCUGCUCGCUUGGAUUGUUCGUUUGUUCGCUUGAUUGCCCGCUUGCCUUGUCGUGUCCACCUAACGGAGCUUGUCUUGUCGUGUCCGCGUAACGGAGCUUGCAUCUAAAUUUGCUUGUUGGCAACCUCAUGACGUGUACUGCCAUGAGUUUGACGGGGGGUGUUGGAAUUUAUUAGGUUUAUUUAGGAAAUUAAUUAGAGAUUUGAUUUGAUUUGAUUUUGUAGUAGGGUAUUUUUGGCAUUUACGCAUUAGGGUUUCUUAGGUUUAUUGCUCUAUAAAUAGAGCUUGUAAUUUAGUUUGAGAAUCAAGCUAGUCACAAUGUAGUCUCUUAGGGUUUUAUAGCCGUUUCGGCAUUCUCGUUCUUUUAAUAAUAUUCUUUCUAUUUUGUUAGUCUUGUUCGUUGCACACUUUAAUAUUCAACUUAGUAUCAAAACGGGUUCGAUCCUUAGGGUUCAAUCUAUUCUCGUUGGUAUCAAUUUGUUUGCCUCUGUCGUUGUUCGUUUUAGAUUUGUUAGUUGGUAUUGAUUGUUUGUAAGGAAAAGAAAAAUGAAAGAGAAAAAGAAAAAGAAAGAAAAGGUUUUGCUUGCAAAGGAGAAGAUCCCCCAGCAAAUGAAAAAAAGGGGACGAAGAAGAAAAGAAGAAAAAAAAAACCACGAGAAGAAAAAAGAGGAAGAAGGAGAAAAGAAAAAAAUAAGAAAGAAAAAAAAAGAAAAAAGAAAUUAUUUUUAGAUGUUUGUUUUAGGCCUGCAGGAAUUGUUGGUUGGCCUGCUUGAAAUUGUGACCACUCGAGUGAUAAGAAUUUGUUAAUUGCUGGAAUUGCUUGUUUGCUUGCCUGCUCGCUUGGAUUGUUCGUUUGUUCGCUUGAUUGCCCGCUUGCCUUGUCGUGUCCACCUAACGGAGCUUGUCUUGUCGUGUCCGCGUAACGGAGCUUGCAUCUAAAUUUGCUUGUUGGCAACCUCAUGACGUGUACUGCCAUGAGUUUGACGGGGGGUGUUGGAAUUUAUUAGGUUUAUUUAGGAAAUUAAUUAGAGAUUUGAUUUGAUUUGAUUUUGUAGUAGGGUAUUUUUGGCAUUUACGCAUUAGGGUUUCUUAGGUUUAUUGCUCUAUAAAUAGAGCUUGUAAUUUAGUUUGAGAAUCAAGCUAAUCACAAUGUAGUCUCUUAGGGUUUUAUAGCCGUUUUGGCAUUCUUGUUCUUUUAAUAAUAUUCUUUUUAUUUUGUUAGUCUUGUUCGUUGCGCACUCUAAUAUUCAACUAUCUCAUAUCAAAAUGUGGGAAGAUAUCACAUAUGUAUGAUAAGCACACGCAGGAGCAUUUUCACUGCAGUUCUGGAGGAACUUCCUGGUGGCCCUGACAUGUUCCUUAUUGCAGCUAAGUUCUGCUAUGGUAGUGGAAUUGACUCCAAGAAAUGUAGUAAUGGUGUACUGUGCAGGGGACUACCUUGAAAUGACAGAUGAGUAUGGAGAAGGAAACUUGCUCUCAAAGUCGGAGAGUUUCUUCCAUAAGAAUGUACUUCACAACUGGAUAGACUCAAUCUUGGCUCUUCAAAGUUGCGAGCCUGUUAUCCACUGGGCAGAAAAGCUUCACAUGGUAAACAAGUGUGUAAAUGCUAUAUUGGUGACGGUUUGUGCAGAUCCUAGUUUGUUUGGAUGGCCCAUGAUGAUGUCUUGUAGCUUACAGAGUCCUGGUGGAAGCAUCCUAUGGAACGGAAUUAACACCGGAGCGAGAAUUCGAAGCUCUGAGUCUGACUGGUGGUUUGAAGUUACAAGUUUCAGUUUGACACUGCUUUGUUCACAUUUGAUGAUCCAUCCACAUGGAUUUUCUAGCAACGAGGAUUCUCGUGUGUUUUUUUUUUGUGGAUCUGCGAAGGAUGAGACAUCUUGUCUAGCUGGAGUAAACUCGGUGACUGAGUCGGCAAGUGCUUGGGCUUUAAUUGAAAUAUUGCACCGAUAGAUGAUUUCGUAUUAUCCUAAUUCGAUGACCCACUUGGUCAAUCUGGACGAUGUUAUGUAGGAUAGAUCGAAGCAAGUACUCUGUCAUGUAAAUGAUUUAGAAUGAUUGAAAGUACGGCCAGAGUUUUCUAGCUGUUGUUACCAAAUCUGCACUGAUUGCACAUUUUGACAACCCAUUGUUAAUUAUAAACGAAUUAUGAUGUCUUUUUGUAUCACAAUUGUAUAUCACUUUACACCAUCUCCAAAUGAGAUGUCAAAUAUGUCAAAUAGGAUUAAAAGACAUUUAAGAGCAUCUCCAAUAGAGAUAUCAAAAUGUCCAAAUCAACAAUAAUGGUAACAAAAGACAGUAUUAAUGUUUUCCAAUUGAGAAGUCAAAUCUGAUGUGGUAUGACAUAGAAUGACAUCUUUUUUCCUUGUUGCCAAAUUUGAAAGCACCUUCAGAUUUUUUAAUUAAUUAUUAAAUGCUUUUUAUUAGUUUUUUUUUUUUUUUUGUUUAAAGCAUUAUCCUUUUGUUUCUUUUCAUUCCCAAUGCAAAUAAAAUACAUAUGAAUUUUUAUUUUAUGUUUAAAAUUUGUCAUAUUGAUUAGAGAGCAAAACUUUAAAAGAUGUCAAAGUGCCACAUAAGCCUACAAAUUUAAAUUUUAGAUUUAAAAUUUGACAUCUCCUUAGGAGAUGGUCUAAGUGUUCUCCAUGUUUUAUAGCUACCUUUUUUUACAGCAAACAAAUAGUGAGUCAAAUAUGUUUAAUUUAAUUUUUAAUGCACGGGUCCGGUCCCAUUAACAACCAAUAGAAUAAAAAUUAAAACUAAUUUAGAUUAUUUUUUAAUAGUUAAUGUAAUUCUAGGCUCAAUAAAAUAAAUAUUUGACACAUCCAUUAGAAAAGAAGAAAAUUUAGCAUUUGUAUUCAAUUUGCUACAUCAGCUAUCAAAUAAAAUUUUGAUAUACUAUAUUUGACAUCUCCUUUGGAGAUGCUCUUAUGUGGCAUCUGAUGUGGACAACCAUAUUAUCUAAAUUAAUUAGCAUUUAAUUUUAAAAUUUUAAUCAAUAAUUAAUAAAAAUAUAGUUAAUUAAAUGGUGAUUACGGUAUACAAAGAGUCUCCUCCUUCGUUCCCCCUUCAAUUAUGCUUCUUCUUCCUUUCCCUUUCUUUUUCAUGCCAGUUUUUUUUAUUGAUUUCCAUUAUUAUGAUCAAACUUUAUAGAAUUCACUCGUAUACCACAAUCACCAUUGACUUCUAUCUCCAAACUCAUGCCUCGUAGCCCCAAUCCUCAUUCCCCUUCAAGUAUUUGUGUCUCCAGUCCUCAUUGGUACUCCAUGGUUGUUCAUCUCGUGAUUUUUUUUUUUCUUUUCAAAAUUUUCUUUUGGUGGUUUAAAAGAAGGAUUUCAUCUGAUUAUUUCACUAAAUAAAGCCUAUUAGCUUUCAUGAGAAUUAGGAGUCAAAAUCAAAUUUGUCUAUCGGAUUAGAGUUCAUACCCAAUUAAGUUAUUAACGCCAUAAGGAGAUCUUGAAGCCCGCAAGUUUCCUUAUUUAAGUGUUUUAAUUAAUAAGAAAAUUGAAAUUGAAAUUAAAUGAUAUGGCUUGUCCAACUCAUCUACCACUUAAGACGGUAAAGAAAUAUGGUAUAAUAUUAUGGUAAGAAUAGUAAUACUCGAAAAUUAAUGUGUAAAUAAUAUAUGGGAACUUUUUUUUUCAAUAUUAUGUAACAUUGGAUGGUACAAAAAAUAUCAAUAGGCUUUACUAAGUAGGACUGAACCAGAUUGAAGUGACUAGACUAAGGAUUAGGUACUUUCGUUUUUGUUAUGUAUAUAUGAACUAGUUUUAAUGAGAUUACGAGAGACUCACGCCAACUAAAUGUCUCACCAGCCGGUCUUAAUGAGACCCCAAAAAGUAAAGGGAACUUUAACGAAAAGCACCGGUACUGUUCACUUUAACGAAAAACCAUAUUUUUACACUAAAAAGUCAAUCCUGUUACUAUUCACUUUACCUUUUAUUUUAUCCUUAUCAUUAAAACUCAAAGUUUUCAAGCCAUUUUCAUUAGUUUUCUGAGUAAUUGAUUGCUAAUCCCAUCCCUCUUUAUUUCACUGUUCUUUCGCCUUUCUUUCAAAUUUUCAGUCUCCCUGAAAAACCCAAGUUUACUAAAUAACCCUAAUGAAAAUCGAUCGCAUCCAAAAGCUACCACGACGGUCAGACACCACGCGUCUCGGAGAAUGAUUGCAGGGAAGGUGUUUGACAAAAAGCCUCGGGGAGAGAGAGUUAACAAACACAUAAUUAUCCCGUCUCCAACAACAAAAAAAUACCCAAUUAUUUACUCGACCGGCUAAAGAGUAAAAAGAAGGCCCCUCUGCAAUCACUGACUGAUGCUUUUGCUUGCUUCUACCCCAUGGCAUUGUUCCCACACAUGCCGGCCUCUUCUGGGUGUCCCAGUUUUAUAUAUCCUUUGCUUUGCGCACGUAUUGGGGGCAUCGUGAUCUGUGCACUCUUUUCUGGGUGUUUGAUUAAAUUUGAAUUUGUGUUGGUUUUUUUUUUUUUUGUUUAUUUAUGGUCUCAUCCCAUCUUAUGGUGUUUGGUGGUGUGGUGGUGGUGGGUGUGGGGUUUUGGGGUUUUGUGAAUUGAUGAGAGAGAGAGAGAGAGAUAAAGAGCAACACGGCAUUUGUUUUGACUAAUAAGUUGGACUUGGAUUCCUACUUACGUUGAUUGGUGCCAUCUUUAUCCCCUUCUUUGUCACUUUUGAUUAAACAACUAGUUUGUGUCUGUGUCUGUGUUCUUCUCUCCACCCCAUUUCAUGAAGCUCUUGUUUUCCUUUUCCUAGACAGAGAGAGGGUGGAAGGUUCUCUCUUCCCACCUCAGCCAUGGCUCCACCUGGGAAGGUUUCUGAGUUUUGCAGCGAAGGCAAUGAUUGGUAAUCUCUCUCUCUCUCCCCCCCCCCCAACCAGUUUCAUGAACAGAAGUACAACACCUUUUCUUCAGUUCUUCAACUUUCUAAAUUAUUGUUCUUGGGAUUGAAUUCAUGACCCUUUAAGGCCAAAUUCUUAUUAUAUUUCAGUUUGAAUUCAGAUAAAAUUCUAUUAAUCAGUUUCAAAUAAUACCCUUUUUGUUAAAUUGCAAAUUGUUUAUUUCAUUGGUUUAUACAAUUGAUGAACACAGUAAUACUAUACAACCCCUUUUCUUCAAGAUUUCAAUCUUCACAGUAAUUUGGGACUUAAUCAGACUCUGAUUAUAUUCAACCAUAGCCUUCAAUUGCAUAAUUGAAUUCAGAUAGAAUUUUAUAAUUCAAUAGUAAAUAGACCCUAUUUGUUAGAGCUCAAAUUGAUUAUUUCAUUGGUGUAUGUACACUUUCAUGAACAGUAAUAUGACCCCUUUUCUAAGUUUUCUAAGUUUAAUCCUCCCAAUUAUUGUCCUUUUAGGGACUUAAAUUUAAUGCGAUAUCGAAUUUAUGGCCUUUAAGGACAGAGGGCCAGAGUUUGUUAUAUUUAAAUUACAGCUUUCAAUUCCAUGAUUCAGUUCAGAACUUCAGAUAGAGUUUUAUAACUUAAUCUCUUAGAGCAUCUCUGAUGGAGAGAUGCAAAUUUGAGAUGUAAAAGCCUCGUUUACAUCCCAUUUUACAUUUCCGGGGAAGUGUAAAUGUUAGUUCUACUCCACUGGGAGAGAUGUAAAUUUGGGAUUACAUUUAUUGUUCUCCCUUUGAUUGGUGGGGCCCACAUCUAACAGAUGUAAUACAAGAUGUAAUUUUACAUUUUUAUCUAUAUCUUCUGGCAAAGAUGGAUAUUUUACAUCCCGCCAUUGGAGUGUUUUCUGGCCAAUUAAAUAUGUAAAACGCAAUUUCAAGGUAUUUUGCAUCUUCCAUUGGAGAUGUUCUUACAAACCCUUUUUUGGUACAAUGGAAAUUGAUUGUUUCAUUGACUUAAUGUAUGGAAUUGGAGAGGCUUUGUAAUUGAUGUGGUGUUUUCUUCUUUUCUCUGUCAGGUUUUGCAAAGCGCGAUUGCUGAGUGAUAUAACUGUCGUGGUGGAUGGCGUGAACUUCCACCUUCACAAGGUAUGCGCCUAUCAUUUGCUAUGGUGGAUUAUGGAAUUUUGUGAUUAAAAGUGGAUAUAAACCAGUACCAAGGUUUCUUUUUUGGGUAAAUACUAAUAACAAGGUUUAGGUUAUUCCCAAAACUCAGAAAUUAAUUGUUGACUGGCUUUUUAAGAUUGUAAAAAGCAUUUCAGUUUCCCUGGUAGUUGGUGGUGCAUCAUAACUCACAAACUUUCAAUAUAUGUUUCUAUAACGAAAGAAGGUAUUUUUCUAAUGAAAGCCGCGUUAAUGUGGACUGUGGAAUAUGUAAGGAUGUCUGUAUUCUGAAAAUCAAAGCUUUGAGCAUUAUUGCUUCAUUUCACUAAUAGUAGUUAUCAUGUUUCGUAGAUUUAUAUUCUGGAUUUUUUCUAUAUUUGUGUCUGUUCUGGCAUUGCUCUCAUUGUUGUCACUUUUGUUAAGGAUAUUUCUGUAAUCAUAUCACAAUUGUUAUGGUGAAUUCUUGGAAUUAUUACUUAUGACAAUUCUUUACUCUCCAGUUUCCUCUCAUAUCAAAAUGUGGGAAGAUAUCACAUAUGUAUGAAGAGUUCGAAAGCACAAGCAGGAGCAUUUUCACUGCAGUUCUGGAGGAACUUCCUGGUGGCCCUGACAUGUUCCUGAUUGCAGCUAAAUUCUGCUAUGGUAUGCGAGUGGAAUUGACUCCAAGAAAUGUAGUGAUGGUGUACUGUGCAGCGGACUACCUUGAAAUGACAGAUGAGUAUGGAGAAGGAAACUUGCUCUCAAAGUCGGAGAGUUUCUUCCAUAACAAUGUACUUCACAACUGGAAAGACUCUAUCUUGGCUCUUCAAAGUUGCGAGCCUGUUAUCCACUGGGCAGAAAAGCUUCACAUAGUAAACAAGUGUAUAAAUGCUAUAUCAGUGAUGGUUUGUACAGAUCCUAGUUUGUUUGGAUGGCCCAUGAUGAUGUAUGGUAGCUUACAGAGUCCUGGUGGAAGCAUCCUGUGGAACGGAAUUAACACCGGAGCGAGAAUUCGAAGCUCUGAGUCUGACUGGUGGUUUGAAGACAUCUCAUACCUCAGUGUGAGUUUGUUUGAGAGGCUUAUGAAGGCAAUGGAAACAAGGGGCAUUAGACCUGAAAACCUAGUGGGUGCUGUAAUGCACUAUGCCAGAAAGUACCUACCUGGCCUAGGACGAUGGCAGGGUGGACAACAUGGUAUACCCAGAACAGUUACAAGUUUCAGUUUGACACCCAUUGCCCUUGAUCAAAAGGUAGUUUUAGAAAGCAUUGAAAAACUUCUUCCCCGAAAGAAGGGGAAAUCGUUUUGCCGUUUUCUACUUGGUCUUCUUCGUGUUGCAUUAAUAUUGGGUGUCAGUCAAACCUGCAAGGAUGCUUUGGAGAGGAGAAUAGGGAUGCAGCUGGAAUUGGCAACCCUAGAUGGUCUUCUAAUUCCUACUUAUUCAGAUGCUGACGCAUUGUACGAUACUGACUGUGUUGAACGGAUAAUCCAUCAUUUUAUGUCGUCAGAAUCAAAGGUUACACCACUUUCUCUGUCAUCUGUCAACAUGGAAACAUCACCUUCGUCAAGACCUUUACAGAAAGUUGCGAAGUUGGUAGAUAGCUAUAUUGCGGAGGUUGCUUCAGAUGUGACUUUAAAACCAGGAAAGAUACGCUCUCUUGCAGAGGCCCUCCCGGAAUCUUCAAGAACUUUAUAUGAUGGGCUGUAUAGGUCGCUGGAUAUAUACUUCAAGGCACACCCUUGGCUCACAGAUAAAGAGAAGGAAGAUCUCUGCAGCAUCAUCGACUUCCAGAAGCUAUCUAUUGAUGCCUGUUCCCAUGCAUCCCAAAAUGAAAGGUUGCCACUCAGAGUUGUUCUUCAAGUACUGUUCUUUGAGCAGAUGCAUUUGAGAACGGCUCUAGCUGGUUGUCUUCAUGGCUUGGAAACUCAUAGUGGCCCUGCAGGUCCUACGACUGUCCAAGGUGACAUGACUGGCCAGAUUAUACAGAGGGAUGGGUGGGUGACUAUGGUGCGUGAGAACCGGGUUCUAAAGGUGGAUAUGGAAAAGAUGAGAUCUAGAGUCGGUGAACUCGAAGAAGAGUUCAGUCAAAUAAAGCAAGAGAUGAAAAAGGUGAGCAAAUCACACAGCUCCCUCAGUUCUCCUCGUGUGGUUGGCAGGAGAAUUGGGUGCAGUCUUCUUUCACAACCAUCUGAUGCUAAACCAGAUGCUAUUCAAAGUACGCGGCCCUCCCCAAGAUCAUCAGUUGAGCAGGGACGCCCUUCGACCUUGCAUAUUAGACACAAAAAAAGUUCCUCGUUGUUUUGAGAGCCAGUCUAUAAGCAAUUGAAGUCUGCCUCAGUACGUAGAGGCUCUGGUUGGUUAACAGAAAGUACCCGAGCAAGGAAUGGAUGGUUCAUGCGUACUCAACAGCCUCGAAACAAUUCCAUGUUUUUGAGAAAGUUUAUUUUCUUCAUAUUUCUGUUAACCAACCAGAAUAGUUUCCGAGUUAUAGGGCAACGGUUGGAACUUGGCCAAUAUCAGGAGGAACCAUUAUAUUUUAAGAAGUUACUCUUACCUUACCUGUUACAGGAUGCUAGUCCCAUCCGAGAUUCGAAAUCAGAAAUCUGUGCUCUGCAUCUUGAUACGGAGGUUUGUUACACGUAAAUACACCUUGUUUUACACGGAUUUUUUUUUUUUUUUCAAUUAGCAUGUUUAUGGGUUUAUACAUGUACAUGUUUAUGACCCGAAUUGUAACUUAUAGGUUGUGAAAUAGUGGAAAAUAUUGGUAAUAUAUGAAUUUGAAUUUGUUUGCCUUCCUUUGAGGUGUCUUGAUUUUGAAUUUCUGUUCAUUAAACAGUGGAGAGUAUCUGUAAAUGAAGGAUUGUAAUCGAGGAAAGCAUAGGGAAUAUACGAGUCUCUUUUAAGUGGGGGAUUCUACUAUGUUACGUGAUGUGAGAGAUAGAAAAGGAGAAAUAACCGGUUACAUCCUUCUGUUUAAAUAUUGUGGAGCUAAUUCAUUCAAAUUCUAGGCAGAGAGCCAAAACUUUCAUCGUUCUGCAUAGACAACAAAGUUUGCACGGGCAGCAUUUAUCAAUGUUUCGUUUUUGCUAGGCUGGCCGGCCGGCCCAGCCUGUUUAUAGCUACUUUAGCGUAAAAAUGACAAAAAUUUGUUUCCAAAUUGGCAAAUGAACAGUUGCUAGAUAAAUGUAGCCUGAAUGGAGAUAAAAAAAAAUAGCAGAAGUUAAAUUUAAAAUACUAUUAAAACUGACUUUUGCUUUUGCGUUCUCUUUCCUCUUGACCCUUCCUACCUGCUGCUCGCGUCUCUGCCCCUUGCGCCUCUUCAACUUGGCUUCCUCCAUCGCAUUUCCUGUUAUUAUAAGUAUAGCUCGUCAUCUGUUAAUUUUUCAUGCUCUAAUGGAUAUAGUUGUUCAAUCAUUCUCCCAUUAUCAUUUCAGUUGGAGUUUUUUUUUUUUUUUUAAUUGUUGAGUUUGAAGUGUUUCUUUAAAUUUGUGAUUCGAGAAACAAAUUGAAAUUUGGCAAGAAAUGUAAUCCGGUUGUCAUUUUUUUCAAGGAAAUGUUCAGAAAUAGGAUAAUUUUUUAAUCUUGUGAUAGAAAUAGGACAUUUUGAAUAUGCAAUGCUUGCAUAACAAUCCAACAGAAAUAGAAUUUUUCAUACAUCUUGAAAUGAUCAAAUUGUCCUCCCAUAUAAAUGGGUUAUCUAGAAGUUCAAACCCUCAUUUCUCAUUUUGUAGAGAGAGAAACAAAGAGGAGAGAGAGAAAAAAAAAAUCUCUCUCACCCAAUUUCAGUUUGAAGGACUCUAACCCACCCAUCUUCUGCAUCCAAGAUCUCUCUCUCUAACCCACUCAUCUUCUUCAUCCAAGCUCUCUCUCUCUCUCUCUCUCUCUCUCUCUAACCCACCCCUCUUCUUCGAUUUUUACUUUUUCAUUUGUAGGUUUUGUGAACUGGAUUUGCUUAAUUUUGCUUUUUGAUUGAUGAAUUUUUUUAGUUGAAGUGAUUGGUUUGGUGUUUCUUGGAGAAGACUCAAAUCCUUCAUUUUUUAUUUUUUAUUUUUUUUAUCAUUUCUCUUAUUUAUAUGUGGAUUUUUCAUUUCUUAUGUCUUCUCCCUUCCUCUGCUCCCUCUCUCGAUCCAAAUUUACAAGCACUAAAAUAGGAUUUGGCUUUUACUGCAAUGAAAUGAAAAAAUGUAUUGAAGGUCAGUUGCCUUUUGGAGAAAAGAUAAAUUUGAGUGAAAGAGAGAAUCAGAGUGGAAAGAAGGAAGAGAGAAGGAUAUGCACAAAAUUGUUUCGCGUACUCAUUCGCUCUCUUCGUAUUAAGCUCGCUCAUACACUGUAUGUACACGACAUGCACAUGUAAUGCUCACAGAUCUGAGCUCAACCCCAAAACUCAUAGCUCACAACUUUCUCCUCAAAAUCUGAAGAAGAAAAAAAUGACGCAAUCAAAUAAAUGACCUUAAACUUUAUAUGAAAAUUGAAGAUUCAUUAAUUUGAAUUUGGUAUCAAAUUUGAUUGUGUUCAAAUAUUUCAAGGAUUUGAAAAUUGCAGUUUGAAUGGGCACAAAAAACCCAAAUGAAUCAAAGGAAGUUGUUUCACGAACUCGUUCGCUUUUUUCAUAUUUGGAGGGCCUGCUUUUGAAUCAAAGGAAAAAGUAAUAAACAAAGUUAAUGCAAAAAGUAUCCAAGAUGUAAAUACGCAUCAUAUACACUAUAUGCACACCACAUGCACAUGAUAUGCACAAAAUUGGAGAAACUUUAACGGCAACAUAUUGAUAUAGUGGAUACAAUUAAAACAUAUUUGUUACGCAUAUAAGGUUACAGUGACAAUUUGAAAAAUCUUAUUACGUAUAUCAACCACCGUCUAACCGUGCACGUGGAAAACAUGAUACUCGUUAUCUUUAUUUCAUGGACACGCAUGACUCUUAACGUCUUCUAAUCUUUCUAAUCUUUUUCUUAAUUUUGUUUUUCAUUGAGGCCAACUAGGUUAUGGUCAUACUCGCUAAAUUUCAUAGCACAACAUACAUGCAUCAUAACUAGUGAACAUUCUCGUAGACCAUAUGCACACCACAUGCACAUUACGGAAAAAAUUUCAUAAAUUUCUGCGAUUGAGCACAUGAACCAAAAAUUGUUCCAUCCCUGUUUGUAGCACAUCAAAACUUGAAAUUUAUUCCACAACCUAUAUCCCCCAUCAUGAAACACAAACUGUAAUUUAACUUCUAAGUAUUAAUUCAUCUUACAAACAACUCAUUUAUUCCAUAAAUCAUUGAUGAAGGCACUUGGAACUAAAUACUCUACCUUACUAUGUUUGCCGAAGCUUUAGUUGUGGGAAAAAAUGAAACUUUCCGGCCAAAACAAAAAAUAUAGUGCAAAAUCCAGCUCAAUCUUCUCACCUCUCUCGCAUCCAUUUGUUUGAAAUCAAAGGUAUGAGGUCAACCCAAAACCCAGCUCAUUCUUCUCGCCUCUCUUUGAACUUUCCUCUCUUCAAAAUCGGAGCUCAGAGAUCUAAGCUCAACCCAUAAAUUAGGGCUCACAGAGCUCUCUUGACAUCCCCCUCUUCCAAAUGAGAACAGUGAUGGAAUGAGCUGAUGAUUUUUUGUAUUUAUAUGUGGUUAAUAAUUUCAAUUUUGUGCAUGGCCGGUUUGUCCUAUUUCUGUCCUAAGAUUAAAGAAUUGUCCCAUUUCGGGUAUUUCCCUAACAAAUAAUACGACAAAAAUCUAUAGUCCUAUGGACUAUAGAAUAUUUCUAGCUUUUUAACGUUUAGAUUUUCGUUUUUGUAUUUUUAAACAAAAAUAUAACAGUAAAACACUUGAAAUUCUCUGGCGCACUAUAGAAAAUCUCACAAUACAAUAAUUACACUAAAUUCAUUUAAACUAAACAAAGACAGAUUCAAUCUUGAGUGCGUUGGCAAUGGUCUAUCUAACUUUAUUUUGCUAGCGUAAAUAAAAAGCCGAAGCAAGCAUAACAUCAGCCGACGCUUUGGCCGAGUGGUUAAGGCGUGUGCCUGCUAAGUACAUGGGGUUUCCCCGCGAGAGUUCGAAUCUCUCAGGCGUCGAGAAUUUUUUUCAUUUUUUGAUAUUUUAAACUGUAUUACAGCCAAUCACUUUCUGCCACGUGGUUAUUUUCCACGUAAUAAACCCCUGGGAUAGAUUGCCCGCCUGAGUUUUAUCCUCUAUUUUCUUAUAUUUCCCAAACUGUUUUACAGCCAAUCAAUUUCUGCCACCUAUUACGUUUUCACGUUCUCAUCCGCAGGUGAUUACGAUCCCUUCAGUCAAGUUGUUUUGGAACAGUGAGUCUGCGACUUCCCUUUGUGCUAGUUACACAGAAUGUCAGUUUGUUCGCCACCAUCGCAUGCCCACCUCCCAAACGCCGUCGUUUCCAGCUCCGCCUCCGAAGGCAGAGUUCCUCUGCAAUGUCUCCAAAACCCUAAAUCCCAUUCCGAACUCACAAACUCGUUAAAGCUGGUGGCUUCGCACCAUUUUCCGUCUCGGAACCGCCGUUUCCAUCUCAAUUGCGCGGGAUCAGAGGCUACCUCCGUCGCGGGAAAAAAUGGUGAUUUCACGGAGGCGAAAGCGAUGGUUUUUGACCCGAAAAUCGACGGUUCGGGCGGAGGAAAUGACGGUGGUGAUGGCGGCGAUUCAUUUGGUGGCGGAGGAAGAGGAGAAGGAGACGGCGGGGGUAAAGAGGAUGGUGGAGAGGAAGAGGAGUUUGGGCCAUUGCUGAAGUUUGAUGAGGUGAUGAAGGAGAGCGAAGCUCGGGGUGUGAAGCUCCCUCUAGACAUGGUCGAGGCUGCAAAGACUACCGGGCUCCGGGAAGUGUUUCUUCUCCGCUACUUGGAUUUGCAGGUUUGAAUUUUUGCUUAAUCUGGUCGUCAUUUCUGUUGAAAAAUCUUUUACGCUACGAUUUUUAUCGGGUUUGUGAUUGAAUUUUGGUUAUUUUGUGUUUUGAUAAUUGAAAUUCAGGGGUCAGUUUGGCCAUUGGGUUUUUUGAUGAAGUACUGCUCAAUGCUACGUAAUCGGAUGAUGGCUGAUCCUUCCUUUCUUUUCAAAGUUGGGACAGAGGUUUGGUUUUGUCCGUUUUCCGUUUCGGUUUAUAGUUUUUGAGUGGUUUUUAUUAUUUUGAGUGAUUGGUGGCGUUGGUGAUAAUUCUAUGAGCUAGAUUACAUGUAUACCUUGCGUUGAAUCUGGACUGGUUUACAAUUUCUGCUCUUGUUAACUACUGAAUAGAUUUUUCCUCGUCCACCUUUGUAAUGCAGAUAGUCAUAGAUUCUUGUUGUGCAACAUUUGCAGAAGUUCAGAAAAGAGGAAAGGAUUUCUGGGCUGAGUUUGAGUUGUAUGCUGCUGAUCUUUUGGUUGGAAUAGUGGUUGACAUUGCUUUGGUUGGCAUGUUGGCACCCUAUGCUCGGAUUGGAAAGCCGUCAGUAUCACAGGGUUUAUUAGGAAGCGUGCAGAAGGCUUGUGCCGCUCUUCCUAGCAGGUUAGCACUACAACGCAGCAUUUUAUGAUACUCGUAUUCUGCUGUAGGUCAUUUAAUGUUAUCUAUCAGUAGUUACUGCGUUAAAUUUGCAUUUGGUAAGAGCUCAACAAGUACUCGUAUUGUUUACUCUGAUUGUACUCCAUCUUUCCAGUCAUCUCUGUUUAUAUUUUUAAUUUGUUUCAUUGUUACUCAAGUCAGGGUAAGAAGGACUGCUAAAUUCUUAGGAAACAUAAUUAUUCAUCAUUCUGCUCUUCUUAGAUAGCUAGAAAUGUUAAACCUUUAACAUCAUGUUCUGUUUCACUAUUUCUGCCUGUAUUCAUCUAUACUAGUCUAUAUCUGUAUUUUUUUAUCCAUAUCUUCUUAUCAAUUUCAGUCUCUUAUCCAUUUAGGUUGACCAGCGUAAAAGUUAUUCUUAUCAUUCGUUUUUUAGGUUAGUUAGGUUCCCUUGUUUAAGAGGUCAUGAUCAUCAUUUACAUGUACGAUAUCUAUUUUUGGCUCCAAUGAAAUUCACCAUUCCUCUUUUGCAGCGUCUUUGAAGCCGAAAGGCCAGGAUGUAAAUUCACAGUUAAGCAGAGAACAGCCACAUACUUCUACAAGGUACAACAUCUUAUUAGUGAUGUUGUUAAGUUUUUUCUUGUAACGGAUAGAUAGGUAGUUGCCCUCUGGACUGUAAAUGUUAAUGACAAAUGCUUCAUCAAGAUGAGAAGGGGUGGAGUUUUUCACUGUCUUUAGUUUUUCAAAUGUGGUUCUUUUUAACUAUUCUCUCUUCAAAUUAGGUUUCUUCACCAGCUGUACUAUUUUAAUUUUCUAGACCAAAAUAUGGGUUCUGGUUCUCAUUAAUUGAUUGGAACAUGUUGGUCCAGGGUGUGUUGUACGGAUCAGUUGGGUUUGUAUGUGGUCUUAUUGGACAAGGAAUUGCAAAUAUGAUCAUGAAUGCCAAAAGGUAUGCUUUUAUCUAUAUAAUUUUCAUGUUAUUUCAGUUUCUUUGUCUGAUGUCAUUCCCUCUUGUUUGGAUAUCUGCUAUUAAAUGUGUUUUUAAGGGCCCAUUGAUAUCCCUUUCAUUUUUAGGGUAUAGUUGUCUUCUUCUUUUUUCUUUUUGUGCGAGAGGUAGAGGGAAAGCAUAUGGUGAAAAGAGGGAUGAAGAAGGGUAGAGGGAGAGAGGAGGGAGCAAUGAAGGAGUGUAUGAAACAAAACUUGAAGUGAAAACAACUUGAAUGUGUAUUCCGUUUUGAGUUUUCAUUUUAUGUACCAUUCUAUAUGCAUAUCUUCCACAUCUCUCCUGUCAUCCUUCCUCCCCCCCGUCUCCAUCUCUCCUUUCUCUCAUGUAAUAUCUUCUCUAUUUGUAACAGAAAAAUGAAAUGGUUGUCAAACUGUCCCUAACUUUUUAUACUUAUAUAGUUAUGUACUCAUUAGAAAGUAAAACACAUGAAACAUGAGACCUACAUUUUAUUUUAUUUUAUUUGAGGAGGUUUCAUCUACCACAUUUCCAGGUUGAGCAGAAAAUGAAAUUUAUAUUAUUACUUAACAUUGAUGUCAUUGGAAACAUAUGUAAUGAUAUUUUAAAUUGAGAGUCAGGUGGUUAGAUGAAGGUCUUUCCCUGACCUGCAGGGAAAGGGGGCUUAAGUCUUCUAUGUUAUAGCUACACAGAUUGAUUAUCUUGUGAACUUUAGGAAGCAUUAAACGGAACUUCCUCUGGAAUCAUGCAUGAAUGUACAUCUUACCAUGAAGUUCCUUGAUGAAAGGCUGAUCAAGUUGCCUGCCUAAACAUAAAGAUCCUUCCACUGUUAAUUGUUUUUGGGCACAACGGUGAAAAUUUGUGUGUGUGUGUGUGUUUUCUAUUUCUUUUGCUUUUUUAAUUGGUACUGACAACCUGAAUUGGGUGUUUUGAAUAGUAUCAAAUAUAAGGAUCGCCAAAAACUUCCACCGAACCAAAACCAAAAAGAAAAGAUUUCUUUAUUAAUGAUAAUUCUUCACUCUCUUAUUCUUAUGUGUCAUCAGGAGCGUAAAAAAGUCAGAAGGGGACAUACCCGUGCCUCCACUUGUGAAAAGUGCUGCUCUUUGGGGUAGGUCCUGCUCUCUUGUUCAGAUUUCAAUUAUUUUCCUCAUUGUACCAUGUACUACUGUGUAUCUGUUAAGCAAGUUUCCCUGUGUCUUAGUUGUGAAGUCAUGGAAUAAAUGUAAACUAAAGGAUAUGCAUAAAUACUAUUUUAACAAAUGCUAUCUCACAAAAUUAAUUCCUGGUACUGGUGUAAAUUUGUGUGGAAUUUUUUUUUUUUUUUUUUUGUCUGUAAAGAAACUGAAAUAAUGAGCCUGUAACUUUCACAGUUCUACAAGAAAGAAAAAAAGGCUCAGAAUAUAUGGGUUAUAGGGUACAUUUUCUAUCUGAUACGAAGUGGAAUCUUAUGAUAUAGGAAUAAUGUGAGAUGGUACUUGAGGACACAGCUUUUGUUUUUGCAGCUGAAAGAAUAGUAUAUUAGCUAUACCAAUUGUUUCUGAGAUCGUCAACAGAGCGGAUGUGUAUUCUUGUCCCAAACCUAAAAGAUAUGUUAAUGUACUUGUCACUGCAAGUUGUUUACGCUUUAUUCAUAGGAUACACUAAUGCACUUGUCACUUUGAUUAUUUGUGUAUAUGAAUGCAUGUGCAACCUGCGAACCUCAGUGAUUAAACUGAUUAGUUAUGUCAUGUGUGUUGAUUGUAUGGUGCAAUUCAAAUGUGGGUUCAUCUCGGUAGUUUGAAUGUAACAACCGGGUCAGGUUGUGGUUAGGGGGAUAUUAUUGUACACAUAACCAUUGACUUUACACCAACUGUUUUGAUCUGUUAAUCAGGUGUGUUCCUUGCUGUCUCGUCCAACACUCGUUAUCAGAUCGUAAAUGGUCUGGAAGGGCUGGUUGAAGCAUCACCUUUGGCAAAGCGCGUUCCGCCUGUUGCAAUGGCAUUCACUAUAGGUGUACGAUUCGCCAACAACAUAUACGGUGGUAUGCAAUUUGUAGACUGGGCUAAAUUGAGUGGAGUGCAAUAGCAGCAAUGCAUACCGAUUGCCAACAUGCUCCCCAGUUUUUAAAUGUCAAUCGGACGAUACGUUCUUUUACAAUUUGGCUCAGAUUUUUUCAGCUAUAGAUCAUUUCAAUAGGGGGAUAGAUCUUUUUUCCGGGCAAUUUCAGUGAUUUAAUGUGAAAGUAAAACAUUUUGUUGGUACUUGAUUUGGUAAUGUUAGUGGUAAUGAACUCAUAUAUGGCUGCCCUCUCACAGAUAGUGGGACCCACAUGAGCGGACCUAUAAGUUGUGAAAGGGCUGCCGUAUGCAGCAUCCAUAUAUAAGAAUUCUCGUGCUAGCAAUGGCAUGCCUCUCGUCUACUACAUGAUCUUUUACUAACUUAUUAAAUAAUGGUAAUGCUCAACCCCAUGAGUGACUGAUUUUUGAGCGAUUUUUUACCGUUGAUGCAUGUGGAGGCGACUGAAGGAUGUAAUUUCAUUUGACAAUGGUGCUACUGUGCUUUGUAUCUAUGAUGACUGGUUAACAAUCGGGAAACCACUGCCUUUUGUGAGAGUUUUCCUCUCCUGUGUGAGAGUUCCUUCCCUCGCCCCCUUUUCAAAUCUGGUUUGGCUUCGCUCGAGCUAUCGUUUUGAGAGCCGCCAGCAUGGGAAUUCGGCAUCCAUCGUCGUAUUUCCUCUUCUAUUGUCUUCUUGUCUUCAUUUUAAUUUAUGCAUCCUUUUCAAAACCCUAGUCUCAAACGUGAAGCCCAUUUCCCCUACUUAUCUACAUAGGAAUCGCAUGUCAAACCUGCUUCAUGGGAAAACUUAUUAUUAAGCCUUCUUAUGACAAGAUUCGUUCGAAUCCUUUCACUUUUCUACAAAGGAUUCAGGAGGACAUUUGUGGACCAAUUCACCCUCCCUGCAUACCAUUUAGAUAUUUUAUGGUUUUGGUUGACGCUUCCACACGUGUGCUUGUUGUCUACAAGGAACGAUGCAUUCUUUAAACUGUUGACUCAUGUUAUCAAACUCAGGGCUCACCACCCUGAUUAUCUAAUCAAAUCUAUUCGAUUGUAUAAUGUUGGAGAUUUCACAACUAAAACUUUUGAUGACUAUUGCAUGUCGGUUACGGUUGAAGUUGAACAUCCAAUACCCCAUGUUCACACCCAGAACAGCCUGGUAGAGGCAUUCAUUAAGCGUUUACAAAUGAUUGCUUGAUCGUUGGUCAUACAUACCAAGCUCAUGAUCACUGCUUAAGGCCAUGCAAUAUUGCACGUAGCCAUGUUGGUCCGCCUGAGGCCUGUUGCGACCCAACCGUAUAACGCCAUUCAGUUGGUUACCGGAUACGAACCUGACAUAUUGCAUCUGCGCGUUUUUGGUUAUGCAAUUUAUGUGCCGAUUUCACUACCUUUACGUACAAAAAUGGGGCUUUAGUGAAGGAUGAUAAUCUAUGUCGGAUAUGAUUCUCCUUCAAUUAUUCGUUACUUAGAACCUUUGACAGACGAUUUGAUUACUGCUCAUUUCGCGGAUUGUUACUUCUAUAAGACAGUCUUCCCGUCGUUAGAUGGAGAUAAGAACGUCACCGUUUUUUAAGAAUGAUGCGAAUUAUCAUGGACGAUUCCCACUUUGUCUCAUUUAGAUCCUCACACCACUCAGUCUGAAACUGAAGUGCAUCACAUAUUAGAUCUUCAGAGCGUAGCUCAGAGUAUGUCGAAUGCUUUCACCGAUCUAGCGCGAGUGAUAAGAUCACAUAUUCUAGCUGCGAAUGUGCUUGCAAAGAUAGAUGUACCAAAUGUACGACGAACUUCCCUCCUGGAGGCCUGGGAUGCAACUUUGGUCGAUCCACGUACAUUAACAGCUAGCCAAUCCUCUGCCCCUACACAAAAGCGUGGUAAACUGCUUGGUUUAAAGGAUUCACACUCCCAGAAGAGAAAACCCACGGCACAGGCUCUUGCUGAGCCUACCGUGAAUCCGACUGUCGCCUACUCAUUUUACCCAACUCAUGGGGAAAUUCUAGAUUACGGAAGCGUCCUUAAAGAGAUGAAUCCACUUCCCGAAAAUUGUAAGAUUUCGGUUUAUUAUGCUAGCUUGGAUGAUGUUUGGUGUAGAAAUGAGAUGAUCAUCGAUAAUGCAUUAGCAUAUGCAGUAGCUAUUGAGAUCAUGUUAAGCGUUGACAUUGAACCUCGUUUCGUUGAUGAAUGUCGACGUAGAAUUGAUUGGUCAAAUUGGAAACAAGCAAUCCAAGUCAAACUCGAUUCAUUUGCAAAACAUAAGGUGUUGGACUUGUAACUCAUACUCCUCCAUAUGUCAAACCCGUUGGCUACAAGUGGGUUUUCGUUCAGAAGCGUAAUAAGAAGAACGAAAUUGUGUGUUAGAAAGCUCGUCUUGUUGCGCAAGGCUUCUCACAAUGCCAUGGGAUUGACUAUGACGAAACUUAUUCACCUGUUAUAGAUGUGAUUACUUUUCACUACCUUAUCAGUUUGGUAGUUUCUAAAAAACUGAGUAUACAGCUGAUGGACGUAGUAACUGUGUAUCUUUAUAGGGGUCUUGAUACGGAAAUUCAUAUGAAAGUUUCCGAAUGACUUACACUUACUCUAUUGUUUGAAGCAAUCUGAAAGAAUGUGAUAUAAUCUUCUAAGUGAGUAUUUGACUAGUCAGGGAUAUAUGAUCAACGAACUAUACCCUUGUGUGUUCAUUAAGAAGUCACAUUCCGAUUUUACGAUUUUUGCAGUUUAUGUCGACGACAUGAACCUCAUCAGAACUUCUAAAGAUCUCGAGAGAACUGUCGGGCACCUAAAGAAUUUGAGAUGAAAGAUCUAGGAAAGACUUGAUAAUGUCUCGAUCUUGAGAUAGAGCACUGUUUAGAUGAAAUCUUAGUACAUUAAUUGAACUACACCCAGAAGUUGUUGAGCCACUUUAACAAGGAUGAAGCGAAGCCUUCGAGUACUCCUAUGGUCAUUAGAUCACUAGAUGUGGAACGAGAUCCCUUCCGUCUAAAAGAGGAUGAUGAAGAGAUUUGGAGCCUGAAGUUCCUUAUCUAAGUGCGAUAUGCACUUUAUUGUACUUAGCUCAAUGCAUUAGACCCGACAUCUCCUUUGAUGUUAAUCUUUUGGCAAGAUAUAGUAAUGCACCAACGUGCAGACACUGGACUGGUGUUAAAGACAUCUUCCAUUACCUUAAGGGUACUACAAAUAUGGGCUUGUUUUAUCUCCAUAGAUCCUCGAAUGAUGCUACACCCCCUUAUCUCGAGUCAAACCUCGCCUUUUUGGUUAUGCCAAUGUAGGAUACUUAUCUAAUCCGCACAAAGCGCGUUCUCAAACGAGUUAUGUCUCAAACGAGUAUCAUGAAACAUACUUGCUUGAUCUUAAUGUACUAUUUUUCUCUACGAUUAGGAGCAUUUUUCCCAUUGGGUUUUUGCUACCUAACGAGGUUUUGAUGAAUCACCCACCUUGGGUUAAUCAUAUCCCUGAUGACGUCCCAUAGACGUUUUCUUUGACUUUGCAUUACUCACGCAUUUUUCCUUAGACUAUGGAUUUUUUUUCCUACUUAGGUUUUACCAUAGCCAUUAGGUUUUUUGUGAGACUUAGUUCCAUCUGUAAGUUCCUACUUUACUUUGAGACUAGCGUGUUCUCAUAAUUAGUGCCGACAACUCUACAUGAUGCCGAAUCUACUUAAGUAUUUACUCACUCAAGGGGAAGUGUUAUAAACAUUGUAUUUAAGUGUGUUUGUGUAAAUCCUAUAUUAGAUUCGAUACUAAUCAUUCUUCCCUAUUAGGACUUGUAUUCUUUGGAGGAGAAGGAUUAUUCCCCUCUUAUUACUAUAAAUUAAGGCAUUGCGUAGGGGGAAUAAUACAUUCUCUACACAACCUUACAAACACAUCUCUCUCUACUCUCUUUGCCAUGCUCCCUCUCUCCCUUGUCAGAUUAAAAUAAAGCUACAAUAAAAUCUACUUUCUUGGGGGCCGCUUGAUAACAAUUACGUUUUCACUUUUUUUUUUCUCACUUGUUUGAAAUCUGAAAUCUUGUUGGUAACUAUUUUCAGUUAGUUAUAAAAAAACCCAAAAACUAAAUACUACUUUCUUGAGUAUUCAAAAUUUGGCCUUGAAUUUUCACUUUUUGGAUAUCAAUUUUCAUUUUAUUGAAUGAAAACUGAAAGUAGUUACAAACAAUAUUUCAGUUUUUAGUUUUUAACAAAGAAAAAGUCAAAACCAAAAGUCAAAAACUAAAAACGAAUAGUUAUUAAAUGACCACUAAGUUAACCACUAUGUUUUGCCAUAACAAAAGUUUGUAUUCGCUAUCAAUAUGGCAUUUUUUUGUCCAUUUAAUCCUCUACAUGCGUGCAAAAUAUGGGCCGACUAAGUGCUAAGUCAAAAAUAUAAAGUUAACCUGAGGGCUAGAUUUGAUUUGAGGGUUAGAUUUGAUAGAGGCACCAAUAUUGCAAGAAUUUGUAACUUUUUUUUAAUUAUUUAUAUAGUAAGGUCUCAAGGCUCGUUUAGAAGUGCUUUUAAAAUGAUUAAAAGUACUUUUAAAGGAAAGAAUUUGGGUUCUAGAAAACACUUCAAGUGCUUUUCUACGAUCAUUUACAUUUUACUAAGGAUUGGUUCCAAAAACAUAUUCACAAAAAAUGGUAUCACUAUUUUAAAUGUAUUUCCAAAUGAGCCCUUAAUUUUUAGGCUUAACUACAUCAACAUCCCUAUAAAACUCAACUAGAGUCUCAAUUGUGUUUUUGUACUUAAUCCUAAUUUAGUAACAUUUCUAGUUGAGUCUCACUUAAUCAAAUUUUAGCCAAUUUACUCUUUGGAAAUGUGAAACACUGUCAAUUUUUAUCCAUAACUAUUUUUUUUCAAUCAAUUAAUCCCUGAUAUUUUAUAAAUAGCCACUUAUCUCCUUGUUGUUAGAAUACUCAAAAUUACAUCCAAAAUUUUAUUCGUCAUGUGGACAAAAUUUGAACGUCACUUUGCCGUGAACAUCACUUUGCCGUACUUUAGAUGAGUAGUUGCUAUUAGACCUAUAUCAGUCAGAGGGAAAAUAGAAUUGUUUGCGGUGGUGGGCAUUAGUGAGGGAAACAAAGUCAUUUUGCCUUCUUUAGUGGCUUACGUUUGUUGUUUACGUGAUAAAUAGGGACGAAAUAAUAGGUGAAUUUUUUUUAAUAUAUGAUAGUGAGGAAGAAAUUGACUAUUUAUAUAAGUUUAUGGCACAAUUGGCUAAAUAAAAAAUUGAGGAUAAAAUUGAAAAUAAUUUACAAAUUUAAAGAGUAAUCGGCGAAUACCUUUAGUUACCAAGUUAGCAUUUGUAAGACUUACUCCAACCCUUGAAGUAAUACUCAAAUUUAAGCUUUUAAAUCUACUUCAACUUGCUCCAAUCCUUGGGCCAAAUAUGAGUUUUAACCCAAGCUCAUAUUUGGGGCAAAUUUAGCCCAAAAUUCUCCCUGGGUUAAUGGGCCGACCCACCAUAUAUGUGUACUUUGUUUUAGUUUUAUAUUUAUAAAUUCAUUGAAUAAAAAAAAAAAUCUAGCGGUCCAAAUUUAAGUCCAUCAGCUAAAUAAUUAAAUUUUUUUUUCUUCAUGUGUUCCAUAUUAUUUCAUAGUUGUCGGAUUAGUGAUUUUUCAAUAUUUAUCUGAAUCUAUAUAUUUUUACGUUAAAAUGUUCAUAAAUUAAAUUAGGAGAGUCCACAUAUAUAUAUUUUUUGAAAGUUACUUUAAGAAAAAAAGUAUUAAUUUCUUUUUUAAAAAUCUCGAGUUGAAAUUUUAACCCAAAGGGGUUGAAGCAAAAAAUUGUUUAUGGAUUAAAACUUUUAGGUUUUAACCCCAUGGAUUGGAGAUGGUCUAAAACAAUACCAGUAGAGAAAAGAGAAAAUUAAUUUAAAAAUUGAUGGAUAAAAAACUUAUCUGUUAGUGCAGUUAAGUCUUGAGCAAUUUUCUUAGUGUGAGUAAAUAUAAAAGAUUUAGAUGGGAAAAAAAUAUAUGUAAGAGAGAAAUGUGAAAGGGGAGAGAGAGAAUGUGGAAGAUGUUUAUAUUUUAUUUUCUAAAGUGAAAAUAUGCUAUGAUAACAUGUGAGUGAGAGAAACAAACCGCAAAAUAAUUAGUGCAAAAUUAUAUUAUUGUCUCUGAUUUUAUUUUGUAACCUAAUGAUAUUGUUCUAAACUGUAGUACUAAAUAGCUAUUAAUAAAUAAUUUGGACUAGACAAUUCGAUGUCGUGUCAGAUUUGGAAAAAUAUACCCAUAAGUUUGAACCUUGCGGUUGUAGGCCCCUACAAGGAAUCACAUGCAUAAUUGGGCAUUUAGCAAAAAGUGUUAAAAAAAAAAACCUCCAAAAUUAUAAAAAAAAAUUUAUAAAAACCCAAGUUUAGGAUGAAUAAUUAAAAAAGAAUUUAAAUGCAGGUGAUGUUUUACAACUAUAACGAAAAACGAUCAUACUUAUAGACCAUUUUGUUAAUUCAAUCUUCACCAAUUUUCUUUAUUUUAACAACUAACUAUUUAACUCUAGCAUUAUCGCGAUACUAGAAAACAAAGAAUUUUGAUAAACUGAUCAUGUAAAUGCAUAUUUGUUUUUGGGCAAAAGUAAUUGCAAUGGGGAAAAAUGAAGAAAGAAGAUGGAAGUAUUAGGUGGUAACUGAAAUGAUUUCAAUUGGGCAACGCUGAAUAAAAGUCGUCUCCCUUCCAGCACUGACCGACGGCUUUUCUCUUCUCGAUUUUCCUCUCAGUCCACCUUCCCUCUCUCUCUCCCUCUCUCUCUCACUCCCUCCACUUUCUCUAUCUAAAAAGACCAGCACAUACAAUUAGAUCAAACCCAUUUUUCCGAUUUCGUAUUUGGAGGAGUUGCUGAUCUUCCCUGACGGUGUUCGAUUUCUGCUGCUCCUUUGAUCCAACGCAGGACCCAGGAGGAUCUCGAUUGGAUUUGGGGGAGCUGAGGAGUGGUGGCUUUCUCUCUGUGUGCGUAUCGGUAGGGCUGGAUCUGGGCGGCCAUGGCGUUGUCAGGCAUGCGAGGCCUCUCUGUUUUCAUCAGCGACAUUCGGAAUUGUCAGAACAAAGAGCAGGAGAGGCUCCGGGUCGAUAAGGAGCUGGGGAAUGUCCGUACACGCUUCAAAAACGAAAAGGUUAGUCAUUUAGGUUUAGGGUUUUCACUCUUCGAAUGUAUUGUUGCGUUGCAAAAUUCGUUCUUGUUAAGUUCGGGGCUUGGGAAACGAAUGAGGAUUUUGAUCUGGGGCAUGGAGGAAUUGGUUCAUUGCUUGAAUUAGGUAUUUGGGUUUUUCUAGGUGUUUGCUUGGCUGCUGAGAAAGUCUGAGAAAUGAAAGGAAACUGAGAUUUUGGAAUUUUGGGUAGGAAACUUAAAAUUUGCAAUUUUGGGUUUCUAUUAGUAUGUGGAAGGGAAAAUGUGAAGUGAGCUUGAGGUGGAUUCUGAUUCCAAAAUAAAGGUUACAUAGUGUAUACAAUUAUUGGCGUUUGCGGUGAAUUUGGUGGCAUCGGCAUUCCCCUUUUGGCUUUCAAACUUAUUUAGAAAUAGCUUUGAUGUGGACUCGUUAUUCGAGAGAGGCAAUAGGAAUUUUGUACCGCAUAUAUUCCUUGGUGUUAUAAAUUCCAUUGAUGUUAAUAUAAUUAGCUCAAUGAAGGGAGAGUUGCAGUUGAUGGGCUUCAAAUGAUAGGCAUGAAAAUCCAGAGGUGUUCGCCUUCACUUGCUUUGUUUUUAGUCUUUCUGAUGAAUAACAUAGAACCUUAUGGAGUUUUAGUUAAUGUUUACCUAGUUAAUAUGAUAGGUUUUGUAAUCUCAAACUGAAUUCUUGUUAUGAGAGGGAAUAAGAUGGGAAGUGAAACCUAGUCUGUGCUUAGGGAGAUUGGAGAACACAUGGGGAUAGUCUUGACGUUUUGUGGCAUUGCUUCAGCUAAAAUGUGUCAGUGUUCCCUCAUUUAAAUUCUAUUGUUUGUAGUUCUAAGGUCACACAACAUCCAUUUUGAAAAUGUCAAGUUGGAUUGAAAUUCAUCCAUUUAAUAACGUAUACCUUGUUGUUCUUAUACUGAAUUUAAGACUCAAUCUGUAAUCACAUUUUGGUACCCUUGUGAUUAGAACAUGAAUUGUUUCUAUCCAUUGAACUGAACUUGAUGACUGACUAAAUCUUUUACGUGUCGGCAAAUAUACUGUAAAGGAUUUAAAAGUAGAUAAAUGUCACCUGUCAUCUUUAAACUACUAUCACGGUAAAAUGGAUGUUUGUAUUAAAUCAGAGAUAUAAAUAUUUUUAUUAAAGCUUAAUCUUUCCUGUGUUGAAGAUAAAAUGUUAUCAACAUGUUGUCAGACCCUAAAGUUUAAAGAAAUGUGAGGGACCAUGGGGUGGUAUUCCAUAAGGGUACCGCUGUACAUGGGCUAGUCUUAGAAAGUGUCAUGUAUCCAUGUCUUAUUCCGGAAUACACUCCCUGAUCUUCAUUCAUCCCUUCUAUAUAGUACCAUGUCAUAGAUUCUAUUGAAGUUCAUUUGCAUGACCAAACAGUCAGUUAUGUUAAUGCAUCUGUUAUUCUUUUUUCAAGGGAUGAUAUGACACAGGGGGCAUUUACUGUCUUUUUUUCUUCUUCUUGGGUUGUCUAUUAUAAUUCAAAAUUGUGGUUGGAUAUUGACUAUGGUUGAAGCGAUUUUGAUUUGUUGUUGACCUUUUCUAGUAGUUCUGCACACUCACGUCAUAUGUUAUGUGUCACCACCACUCUUGUAUUUUUGUUGAGUCAGUGAGCAAUAUAAUUUCUCUACAUUUUUUCAACUUACCAUAGAUUUAAUGAUCUAUUCUUGGACUGUAAAUUUGGCAACUUAAAUCAUCGGCUGUGGAGCAGCUAAUUGUUGUAUGUUGUCUGUUUUAGCCUUAUACCAAAGAUUGUCGCACCAUCUGUGGAUUUUAGGUUUGGCCAGCAAAGAUGUGCACUUAUAUUGACUCAUUUUUAACUCAUGAAAAUUUGAAGCAUUUUUCUAUCUUCUGAUUCUUUCUUCAUGGUGUCAAUCAAAAGUUAUUAUUCUGUGUUUGGGAACAAUUAUUGUACUGCCUUGUUGACGACUUCUGUUUGCUAUUGGUGCUGCUGUUCCAGCUCCCUGUACAUCAUUUUUUUUUGUGAAUGACACAAGUUUUUGGUGAGAGGAAGAAGAGUGAAGGUUAAGGGAGAUGUUGUGUGAUGACUGUGUUUUGGGCAAUUUGCUUGGAGGACAUAGGCGGGUGUUUCAUACAUUUGGGGAAGAGGAGCUGAAGAUUAAGUUUGUCUUUUGGUACUGUUAUGUGCUGUUAAUUAGGUGGAUUAGUGUUGUUUUAAAAUGUUUUUUGGCAGUUUGUGGAUUUCGGAUCUCUAUAUGGUGGUUAUCUUGUCCUCUGCAUUGUACUUUUUUCAUUUUAAUUACUCGUUGCUCAUAAAAAGUUGCUAAAUUAUUGUUCUCUCUGUCUUGUCAAUGGUCAUUUGACAUCAAUUAUCUUUUGCUCUGAUUUGUACCUUUUUAUUUUAAUUUAAUGUUAUAUAAUAAAAAAAUAGCAAAUACAUUGUUCUCUUUUGUCUUUUCUGUCUCUCUCUCGAUAAUGUUUUUGACAUUAGUUAUCUUGCAACACAAAUCCUAUACUGUCUUCUCUUUGGUUUUGCAUAGAUUCUGUGGCAUAGGUUGGGACAUAGAUCGAUAUUGUAUCUUUUUCUUAAUUGGUAGAGGUCUAUUUCCAUAUGAAAAUCACUAUAUUACUCAACACUGUAUCUGCUUUUUUACUGCGUGCUCAUGCUAUUUAGCUAACCAAAAGGGUGACUGGUUAAUGAAAAUUAUCUUUAAUUUUAUCAACAGGGUUUGACACCUUAUGAAAAGAAGAAAUAUGUCUGGAAAAUGCUUUACAUUUAUAUGCUGGGCUAUGAUGUGGAUUUUGGGCACAUGGAAGCAGUUUCUCUAAUAUCUGCGCCUAAGUAUCCAGAAAAGCAGGUGAUACAUUCUUUUCAUAUUAAUCUAAAAAUAGACUAGGGGCUAGUUUGGGAAGUGCUUUUAAAUGAUUGAAAGCGCUUUUAGAGAAAAUAUUUUUGGGUUCCCAAAGCACUUGAAGUGCUAUUCCAGGAUUAAAAGCAGUUUAAGUCAUUUAAAAGCUGUUCCCAAACGAGCUCCAGCACUAUUUUUCCACUUUGCUUGCAUGUAUGGAAAUAUAGCUUGCAAGUCUAGGAAGUAAACCCAUCCUCUUCAUUUUCUUUUCUUGUAUAUUAACCAAUGGAAACAGUGAUAGACAUGUGUUUCAGUGUCACCAUUCGUCACUCAUAUACCAAGUAGGUCUGGUGUUUGAAUUUGAGGUGCUAUGAAUUGUUUUCUACAAUAUUACCUCUUGCUCUCAUGCCAAGACCCCGAGUGGGUUAACUUUGUGAACACCAUGCUGCUCAAAGUUCACCUGCUGACCUGGACUCCCAUGUCCAGUUUUAUACUUAUAAGAAUAUAGUAUUAUAUGGUACUUCUGCAUGCCUUUUUUAUAAUAUAAAAUUUUAAAAAAAUGCAUAGUUUUAUUCUCAUGUGAUUAAUUUUCAAUGAUAGUAACCUAAACCUUUAAUUCUAUUAUAUUGCUUUAUCUUCCGUCUCCCAAAAAAAAAAGUUAAUCUCACACUUUAAUUGACUUUCAAUUAUGCGAACAUUUAUUGCAGGUUGGGUACAUUGUAACAGCAUGCUUGCUCAAUGAGAACCAUGAUUUUCUGAGAAUAGCGAUAAAUACGGUGCGCAAUGACAUCAUUGGUCGGAAUGAGACUUUCCAAUGUUUGGCGUUGACUAUGGUAUGGCCAUAGAAAUUCUGUUAGGUGUUCAGAACAUAUUAAUCAAUUUUAUUUUGAAAUUGUUAGUGAUAAUGAUGAGAUAUGAUUUUAUCUUCUAUUUGUCUUCCAUAAUAAUAUACAAUUUAAAUAAGUAUUUUUUGAGUAAUAUCUUGCACAUUUUAUUUGUGUAGGUUUUUUCUGAACCUAUUGCUUCCAUGCUGUCUUUUGUUUGUCUUAUUAUUCUUGUGUCCCUAAUGUACCAAUCAUUAUUUCAUUUGUAUUCUGCUCUGUAGGUUGGGAAUAUUGGUGGCCGAGAAUUUGCGGAGUCAUUAGCACCUGAUGUUCAAAAAUUGCUUGUAAGGGGAAGUGGAUUUUUUAUGUUUGGUUGAAAUUAAUAGAAAAUGAUGCUGUUGACUAAGUGUUUUUUAUUCAGAUUUCUAGCAGCUACAGACCACUUGUGAGAAAAAAGGCUGCACUAUGUUUAUUGCGCUUGUAUAGAAAAAAUCCUGAUGUUGUGAAUGUAGAUGGCUGGUACGUGAACAUGGGAUUUUCUUCACUACAGGAUUUAUUCCAAUUUCCAAUACUAUUGCCUUUUGAGCUUAUUUGAUGGGUCUCUCUUUUUCUAUUAUUUUAGGGCUGACCGGAUGGCACAACUUUUAGAUGAACGUGAUCUUGGUGUGUUAACAUCAUCUAUGAGCCUUCUUGUUGCCCUUGUAUCAAACCACUAUGAUGCUUACUGGAGUUGUCUGCCAAAAUGCGUUAAAAUAUUAGAACGACUUGCUAGGAACCAGGAUAUUCCACAAGAGUACACCUACUAUGGCAUCCCAUCUCCCUGGCUUCAGGUUCAUAAUAUAUACAUUUUAUUUUGUUUUAUUUGUCAGACUUCUUUGCAUGUACUGGAUAUCAAAUAAAUUCAGCCGCCUAUCCUUCUGAUUCUGAUUUAUCCUGUCAAAUCUAUUUUAUUAAAAUGAUUGUAGCUACCUCUGCUUUAUGUCUUUUUUCUGUGCCAUCUCCUCUUGUUGUUGAACCUUCCACCAAUUACAGUGGACAUUGUCAUUUUCUUCUUGCAUGGGCCAGAGUACCAUAUAUCCAGCAUGAUCCUUGCUACUUUAGAUUAUAACUCAACCAGCCUGACAGCUUAAACUUCUAGAGCAUCCUAAAAAAAAGAAAAAUUUAGCAGAUGUGGCAUCAUUUUGUCUUCUUCGGAUUUAAUUGUAGUUUUUUAGGCAAAAGCUUUUUCUGGGGUUCAAAACUCCGAUGAUAUUGAAUCAUCUUUAAGUGGCAUCGGCCAGUACUUGAGAAUAUUUUUAUUUUCUUGCUGUGCCUGGACAAUUUACUGGGGCAUUGUCUUUAUCAUUUAACUUUGUUGGAUAGUCACUACACCCCAUAAGGCUUGGCUUUAGGCAUUGCUCGGGUGAAAUGGUGAGCUGGAAUGUAAUGCAUUCAGUAGUUUGUAGCAUUGGGUGCGUAUAAACGAAUUUGUGUUAUACUAUAAUUUUUGUUAGGACAGGUCAGGACAAUGAGGGCUCUUCAGUAUUUUCCAACCGUCGAAGAUCCAAAUACCAGAAGAUCAUUGUUUGAGGUCCAUUUUCUGUCAAUAACUUAUUAUCAGUUGUGGUGUUAUAUUUUUUGCAUCUAUUAAACCUUGUACUGGUGAUUUCAGGUCUUACAGCGGAUUUUGAUGGGUACUGAUGUUGUGAAAAAUGUUAAUAAGAACAAUGCAUCACAUGCUGUUCUCUUUGAAGCCCUCGCUCUUGUAAGCUUUCUGCAGUACUUUUUAUAUAUGAUUGUGGUAUUCAGGCACCAUUUAUUGAGAGUUUCCUUUUAAUAUGUGCUUAGAAAGUUAUACUUGCAUAUAGGUACACCUAUUUGACUGACUGUUUUUAAUUCCUUUGUAAUUCCUGUAUCGUCUGGUUGUUUUUGGCAUUGACUUCCACUAAAUUCAAGCCUUUUGUGCUGCAAGUGAAAGCAACAAAAUAUGGUCUCUGUGCAUACGUCUAUAAAGCAUUUAUUAUUUGCAGACAUGCCAUGCAUGUAUGUGCGUGGAAUCAUAUGAACAGUUUCCCUUAUAAAUUUGUAAAAUUGGUUUACUCUUGAUUAUUCCUCCCGUCCCCUUUGAAGGUUAAUCAAUAUUUUUUAAAUGUUUAUAAAUUUGCGUUUGUGCAGUCAUCCGAGAUUAUGACACUCUUACUUAAAUUAGUUCAGAAUAUUUUCUUUGCUAGCUAUCUUUGCAACUCUGUUUCCUUUUCUCCAGAGCACACACAACACAUGUUUCAUCUAUUAUUUUUUUAAAGACAAGUAAUUCUUAUGUACUUUGCAUUAUCAUUGCCCAAUUUUAGGUCAUGCAUCUUGAUGCUGAAAAGGAGAUGAUGUCUCAGUGUGUUGCCCUUCUUGGAAAAUUUAUUGCUGUCCGAGAACCAAAUAUCCGAUAUCUUGGUUUGGUAAGUGGUGAAAACACUUAUGGUUUCUUAAUUCUUAUUAAAAAAUUAUCAAUUGAUAAAUAAUACAUUUUUUUUCAUUCAUUUUAAUGCAAACCUUGACUGAAGAAAACAAAGGAAACUGUGACUAUAGCUUAGAAGAGUAAACAUGUUGCUGCUGGAUAUGUGCAUGAUUUGAAGUCACAUUGCUUGUGUAGGAAAAUAUGACCCGCAUGUUAAUGGUGACUGAUGUGCAAGAUAUCAUCAAGAGACAUCAGGCUCAGAUCAUCACCUCAUUGAAGGAUCCAGAUAUCAGGUUUCAAUUGUUAUCUGUUUGGAUACUUGCUGAACAUGUUAGAUAUCUGGAUUUUUUUCUGUAAAAAACAUCAUUUUUUUUUGUUUUGUUUUGUACCCGCUCUUAUUUUAGUGCUCCCUUUUUCGAUAUCUUAAACCAUUUUUGCUUACUGACAUUGAAUUAUAUGCUCAGUAUACGUAGGCGUGCUCUAGACUUGCUUUAUGGUAUGUGUGAUGUUUCAAAUGCAAAAGAUAUAGUCGAAGAAUUAUUGCAGGUACAUCCAAUGCUUGGUGUGGUCUAGUUGGUUUUAUAGGAUUUUGGUAGAUUGUCUCUUGUGUAUAUUAGCACGCAUUUAUUUUCUCUAAAUUUCAUUUGCAUUUCAGUAUCUUAGCACAGCAGAUUUUGCCAUGCGUGAAGAAUUGUCUCUUAAGGCUGCCAUUCUUGCAGAAAAGUUUGCCCCUGAUCUUUCUUGGUAAGAGUCGAUCUCAUUUUGUUCUUCAUAUAUCCAAUUCGUUUGAAAAACAUGGUCCUUCUCUGAAAGGAAUACGAUAUUGGAUAAAUACGCGCGUGAAGAAAUCUGAAAACAGGUCUAUGAUUCUGAGUUAUUAAGCAACUGGGGAUAGAAUUAACUAAAAUAUCCAAUGUGAUGUAGAACUUGGUAGGCAGCUGACAGUGAAAAACAAAGAGAAGAUGAGUAGAUACUCAGGGAAUAAUAGGUGAAGAGACAGAGAAGCUUGAGGUUCAUAACAUGUAUGGUGACUCUUGUUUUAAUUUAAACUCAUGUUUUGCUUAUGAGGAUAUAUGAGAUAUGUAGGUUACUGUUAUAAAAGUGGUGAUUUUCAUGACCUUUUGAAAAUGUGUUUCCGUUUUUGUUUUGACAUAUCUUUGACUCAUUAUGUGACGUUUUACUCUGAAACUACAUUUACUAUUUCCAUCAAUGUCUAGUACAAAAUAUACCUAAGAUGACCUAAGAUGUGACUGAAUGGUGAAAUCAGAUCAAUUUACCUAGCUUCUUUGUUUCUUGUUUACGUUGUAUUCUACUUUGCUACUCAGGUUAGAUAGGGUUAGGCUUUAUUGAGUUUAUUACACACACGCACACACAUAUAUUUGAAAAGUUAGUAUCAAUCAAUUUUUUGACUGGGUGGUUGAUUCUGUUAAUUACUUCUAUUCUUCUGGAUCAUUCUGGGCAUCUCUUUUGUUAUUUGUGGACUCUUGAAGUAAAUGUAUUAUGGGAAGUAAACCUUUGUCAAUUGUGGACUCUUGAAGUAAAUGUAUUAUGGGAAGUAAACCUUUGCCAAUGGUUUGCAUAAUGAUAUUGUCCAGGUAUGUAGAUGUGAUUCUUCAAUUAAUUGACAAGGCUGGAGACUUUGUUAGUGAUGAUAUAUGGUUUCGUGUUGUGCAAUUUGUUACAAAUAACGAAGACUUACAGGUUAGAGUGCUUUAGUGCAAUUUUAUUUAUACAUAUGUUCAUCUUAGUAACUAUAUGACUGACAUGGUAUUCACUUGAUCAGCCUUAUGCAGCAGCAAAAGCUAGGGAGUAUCUAGACAAACCUGCUAUACAUGAGACUAUGGUUAAGGUGCGUAUAGACUACGAUUUGAUUUUCCAGACAAGCUUUAAUUCAAUACGAAAGAGAUUAUUGUAUGCUGGGUUAAGUAACAUGUUCUCUGUAAGACUUGUGUUGUCAGAAUGUGAAUCUGGACUACACAUUGACAUUCUGGCCAAAAUCAACAUGAUCGAUGUCCCAAGUUCAGUCUUGAAAAAGAAUAUUUUCUGGCAUACGAGAGAGAGAGAGAGAGAGAGAGAGAGAGAGAGUCUGGACUACACAUUGACAUUCUGGCCAAAAUCAACAUGAUCGAUGUCCCAAGUUCAGUCUUGAAAAAGAAUAUUUUCUGGCAUACGAGAGAGAGAGAGAGAGAGAGAGAGAGAGAGAGAGAGAGAGAGAGCUUACAUAAGGGAGUUAGAAUUGGCUUUGCUAGGAGUUUCUUUAGAAAUUUCAUUGGCAUGAUGUCAUACGAGAGAGAGAGAGAGAGAGAGAGAGAGAGAGAGAGAGAGAGAGAGAGAGAGCUUACAUAAGGAAGUUAGAAUUGGCUUUGCUAGGAGUUUCUUUAGAAAUUUCAUUGGCAUGAUGUCAUACGGGAGAGCUUAGCUUACACAAGGAAGUUAGAAUUGGCUUUGCUAGGAGUUACAUUAAAAAUUUCAUUGGCAUGAUGUCAUACGCCUUGCUGCCAAUAGGUAUUUACUAAGGUCACUACUUGUCCACUGAUAUUGUACCUUUUUUACUUCUCUUUCUGUAAUAAAUAAAAUUAGCAUGUCUUAUAUAAAAAAAUAGAAAGAUAGGGAGGUUGAGAAUUGUAAGAUCGUUCUUGAUGGAGAUUCUCAUUAUGUUCUAAAAAGAGUCCUAUGGUUUUGGGUUCUAAGUUGCAAAUUCGUCUUGGGGCAGAAUAUAUAUGUAACACAUGAUUUUCAAGAGUAUCAUUUCAAUUUCAAUGUUCCAAUCUUUAGUGUUCAUUAUUUCUCUUGCAUAUUUUUCUACCAAAUUUAACCAUCUAAAUAAAAUAAAUGUCUUGAUCUGCUUGGAAUCAAUACACAUGCAACAGGUCAGUGCAUAUAUCAUUGGAGAAUUUGGCCACCUUUUGGCCAGACGGCCUGGGUGCAGUCCAAAGGAAUUAUUUAGCGUCAUACAUGAGAAGCUUCCUGCUGUGACGUAAGGGAACUUAAAUUUUUCUCUGUUUCUUAGUCUUGCUAAAUCCAGUUAUCAUUUAUGUAUAUAUCUUACAGACUGUAUGAUGUAUUUGCAGGACAUCUACGGUACCUAUUCUUCUUUCAACAUAUGCUAAGAUCUUUAUGCACACUCAACCUCCAGAUCAGGAACUACAGAAUCAGAUCUGGUCAAUUUUCAACAAGUGAGAUUGCCCUCUGCACUUCUACUUUCAUGAAUUGGUUAUUUUUUGUUUUCAAAUUCUGUGUUUUUCUUUAUUGCAUGGUUGAUUUGAGCAAUAUUCAGCAACAAGUGGGGUUGUAUUUUGCAUCUUUACUUUCAUGACUUGGUUCUCUUUUGCUAUUAAAUUCUAUGCUUUUCCUUGGCUCAUAAUUUCUUCCAUUCAGAUAUGAGAGUUGCAUUGAUGUUGAGAUACAACAAAGAGCUGCUGAAUACCUUGCCUUAAGUAGGAGAGGUGCAGCUCUGGUGGAUAUUUUGGCUGAAAUGCCUAAAUUUCCUGAGCGGCAGGUACAUUUGUUUUGCACUUUCCUUCAGAUGAUCAGCUAGUUCACAACACUAUCAAUUUCUAGGAAAUUAUUGAAACAAACUUUAAUACAUGUAUUUUUGUUUAAUAUGUAGUCUGCAUUGAUCAAGAAGGCCGAAGAUACAGAAGUUGAUACAGCGGAACAAAGUGCUAUCAAGUUGCGGGCCCAGCAGCAAACAUCGAGUGCUUUGGUUGUGACCGACCAACGCCCUGCUAAUGGGACCCCGCCUGUCAACCAGUUUGAUCUUGUCAAGAUGCCCAGCAUGAGCAGUAAUGCGGUUAGUAUUGUUUAUCUUUUCAAUAACGAUUCUGAUUUUUCUUUCAUUCUGUGUAUAUAAGGUAUGCAUAUUGUAGUUUCACAUACAAAUAUUAUGUCUUAUUUUGAGUGAAUAUUGAUGCAUGUUUGGGUAUUGUUACAGGAUCACAAUUCAACUGACCAAGGGUCGUCUCAGGAAAAUGGUACUUUGAGUAAAGUUGAUCCUCAGGCACCUUCAGCAGAUAUCCUUGGUGAUCUAUUGGGUCCCAUGGCUAUUGAAGGCCCUCCCGCUACUGCUGGUCAGCCUCAGCAGAAUGUAAUCCCUGGAUUAGGAGGUGAUCCAGAUGCCGUGGAUGCUUCAGCAAUUGUGCCUGUUGGCGAGGAGCAAAUUCUGUUCAGGUACUUUCUGUAAACAUUGUCUGCAAUCAUUUCUGUGUGCUGUAUUUCUUCUAAGUUCUAAGAUGUAGGUGGAACUUGAAAGUGUUCCAAAUGCAGUGUAUUAUGCUCUCUAAAUUGGACUAUCAAUCAGUAAUUGUGUUUUGUGAGUAGCUUAAUGCGCUAACUAUUAGAUAAAUGUGUUUGCCUUUGAUUCUUGUUUUUUGUCGGUUAUACUUAUUUUCUAAUACGUGUAACUAAUUUUACAAUUCUUAAAUGCAGCCAAUAGGAAAUAUUGCUGAAAGGUUUCAUGCUCUCUGCUUGAAAGAUAGUGGUGUUCUAUACGAAGAUCCUAAUAUUCAGGUUUUCCCCCAAAUUAUAACCUUAUUUUUCUUGUUUAUAGAUGUGAUAGUUUCCACUUUUUCUUCAAGAGAGAUUAUGAAAAUUCAUCAAGGCCUUAUUAGGCUUAUAGUGACAUUCAUGUGAUGUUAUGCCAGAUUGGAAUUAAAGCCGAGUGGCGGCUACAUCAAGGAUGUCUUGUUCUUUUCUUGGGAAACAAAAAUACUUCACCACUUGUGUCAGUUCAGGCUAUAAUAUUACCUCCCUCUCAUUUGAAAAUGGAGCUCUCACUAGUACCGGAUACUAUUCCUCCCAGGGCACAGGUAUUAAAUGUUACUCUUGUAAUUAAGCUUUGGUGGUUGAUCUCUCUCUUUCUCAUAUUUAUUAGCUUUGUGUAUUUCUUGUUUUCUUUUUUUUUUUUCCGGUUCUGUAGGUACAAUGCCCGCUUGAACUUGUGAAUCUCAGACCUAGCAGGGAUGUAGCAGUUCUUGAUUUUUCCUACAAGUUUGGUAACAAUAUGGUACUUACACUAAAAAUUUCUUGUGUUUUUUAGUGUCCUAUGAAGCAGACCAUAGGUCGUAUGAUAUUUGUUGUGGAUACUUAUAGUAACCCUUUUGUAGGUCAAUGUCAAGCUUCGCCUCCCAGCUGUCUUAAAUAAAUUUCUUCAGCCUAUUCCAGUGUCUGCUGAAGAGUUCUUUCCUCAGUGGAGAUCACUUUCAGGGCCACCUCUGAAGCUUCAAGAAGUGGUAUGUCUGUCGAGGAUUUGUAAAAUUUUGUUAUAUUUGUGUUGAAGAAGAAAUUCCUUUUACUUGUUGAAAAUGAUUGACAACCAUUUAUAUUGACAGAGUGAAUUCUGAUGACAUAAUUGUUUAAUAGUCUCUCUCAGUUCAUUUUUUUCUGAAUAAUUAAUAUAAUUGUUUAUGGUGAAGUGUCAUAAUCUACUGGAAAGCAGGAUGAUAGAACCUGUUAACUGUUGCACAUCAGAAUAGGAAACACAUGCUAACCAUUUUGUAGUAAAUUUUUAGCAUUGUUCAGUCGGUUUAUCGCUAAUCCCAGGUUGAGGUUAAAUUCCUAUACAUUGGCUAGCUACUUUAUUUAGCACUGUGGUGAUAUUUUCCAGUAAACGGUGCAGGUUAGAGGUGUCAAACCAAUGCCACUUGUAGAAAUGGCGAAUCUACUUAACAGUUUUCGGUUGAUGGUUGUCCGGCACUUGUAAGUUCCCUUCCUAUGUUUAAAUUCUACUUGCUAGUCUGCCAGUUAUUUAAGGUGGUGGCUAAUUUAUUCUCUAUUUUAGGACCCAAAUCCAAAUAAUCUUGUUGCAAGUACAACGUUUUACUCAGAAAGUACACGGGCCAUGCUUUGCUUGGUAAGAAUUUUAUGUUUGUUUCCAGGACUAUAGAAUUUAAUUGGUGGAUUUGAUUCCACCACUUUCGCUAUUAUGGCACAGCUGAAACCCCAAUUGUCGGUUUAUUGUUAUAGAUACAAAACUACGUUGCUUGGCCUUUCCCUUGUAUAGGAAUUUUAUUAAGUUCAAGGAAUUAUCCAUAACUUUAUGACAAAAUGACACUUUAGAAUUGCAACAGGUUACUGAAAUUUGCUUGUUUAUGCUCCUCAGGUUAGAAUAGAAACAGAUCCAGCAGACAGAACACAGUUGCGUAUGACAGUUGCUUCAGGGGACCCUACAUUAACGCUCGAGUAUGUAUUGCUAACGUUAAAUUUGUCAGCUUUUGGAAGAUAGAAUCCUCUGACCUCUGAGUGAUGUGUAGGUUGAAGGAGUUCAUCAAGGAACAAUUAGUUAUCAUGCCUACAGCUCGCGAACCUGGACCGGUGCCACCAGCACCUCCAGUAGCUCAACCUACCAGUCCAGUUUCAGCAUUAACGGACCCUGGGGCUAUGCUGGCCGGCUUGCUGUGACAAAGUGAAGGUGAUGUGUGAGGAUUUGUUCAUUAUACACUCGUAAAUCUGAUUUAUACAACCCGCCCAGUGGUCUCUCUCGCACAAAGUUCAAGUGGUGGAUAAAGAAAAUCCCACUGCAAGGGCUGGCGGAAUUGAAGUGUGAGCUGAUUUGUGCGGGCAGCUUUAGUGUGAGUGGAUAUCUCCACGGGUGGUUGGUCGGGGUUUUUAGAUUCUUUAUGUACAAUGCAAUUGUGCCUGCGUGAGAAAUUUUCUCGGUUUUGGGGUGAGGGUAUUUUUCUUUUUUCGUUCUCGUUUCACAUUUUUUUCCCCUUCCCAGCGGCAGCGGAUUGGUUUCUGUAGUUACGGGGACUUGGCAGGAGAAUGUAAGAUAACAUGAAGUAGAUUAGUUGUAGUGGAAGCUUGUAUUUGUUUGUUGUUGAUGCAUAAAUUUGUUUUUCUCAGUAAUACAAACGAUUGGGUGAUGUGCAGUGUGAUAUGUUUCUUUCUGUAGAACCCAAAUUAGUUUGUAAACUAUAGAUUUACCACAACUUGUCCUUGUACGGGAGUAAUAAUUUAGGUGGAUGACUUUUGCAAGAUUAUAAGAGCAUUGGCAAUCGUAAUUAGAAGGCCAGGGCAGUACAAUUGCUCUUAUCAUUCAUUUCAAACAGUAAUUGCCUUUGUGCAAGUUGAUCAGUCUGGAAGGAGGAAGGAAUUAAAAUAAUUGAGAAAAUACUUUGUAAAUCUGAUCAUUAAUUACUAACGUUGUACAAUCAUUAAUUACUCUGUAAAUCUGAUCAUUAAGUGAUCAUGUGGUAAGCGCAGAACCCACAUCUUGCUGACUUGGAGGAGGAAUUAAAAUAAUUGAGAAAAUACUUUAAAAACAACUUGUUGAACGAGAAAAGUAACUAAAUAGCACAAACAACUUUCCACAAUACCAAAAAGCUUCCUCAGUACGACCUGAUUUCAUAACAAGAAAACUGUGGUUGGGAUUUCAUUUACACAAGCAAUUCAAUCAGAUAAGCACAAAAAACCUGCUUAUCGUCUGAACUCUCUAUUCAGACCCAAAAAAAAUAUAUGACGGCAGUGAAACAAUAACACCCCAUUUUCCGGUUACGGAAAAAUCGGCCACUUUACGUUAGAGCUCCAAACCCCCUACUACUACAUUGUGGUGCCUCACUAUUUAAUUGGGAAGUCAUAAUUCAGCUUCCCGAACUUCUCAAUGUAACUGAAUCUGACUGAGAAAUGCCGGGGGAAGGUAAUAACCGUAUCAUCAGUCCGUCACAAGCAGUACCAUUAACAAAUUACCUCCGGGGUUAGAGAACUGAAAUUUCCAUAUUUGAUAUCUUGCCCUUCUCAUAAAUCAAAAAAUUUAACCAUCAAGAGUCGUUACCUUGCAAAAUCUCGUCCAGGAGAUCUCCCUCUAAAAAUUGUUUACAGAACAAAGCCUGAAGCCUUAGGAUGGCAAAACAGCUACCGCCACUCUCUGCACUGGCCACACUUCCAGCUUCCAUUCAUCGGUGAUGAUUCAGUCCAAGGAGAACACUCAUUGUGUAUCAAUAGCCCACAGUUCUGGCAGGAAAGAUCGGGGGAUGGUUCUUGAAGUGAACAUACCUGACAUUGCAUCAUAUCAACAGCAGACUUUACUUCAUCAGUGAAAGUAGCUAUGUUAUAUUGAUCAGGGCCUCCAUCCUGGAAAACUGUAUAUUGGUUUUCCAGAUUUCCUGAUUCAUCUGCAAAUGCUUCGAAUCCAUCCAACUGGUCACCAUCAUCAGGUGCAAGCAACUCAUUGAUAGUGAAGACAGUUUGCGGUUCCAUAUUCUCAUAGUUCAGAUCUUCAUAGUCAUGCACCAUCUCACCUUCGAAUCCAUUCAUGGAGGCAUCCCAUUCAACAUGGGAUGGUGCAAAGUCCAUGGAAUUUGACAGGUAAUUCAUUUCACCAUGUGUAGAUAUUCCAGGAUGAGAUAUGUUACUCUCAUGAAAGCCAUCUACAUCCUCUUCACGCUUAAUACCCCUUCUCACUGGUAAUUUCCUAGGCCCUGGCUCAGCAGCAUUCCAUUGAGCAUUAACUUCUGAAUCGUACUCUGUAACUAACUCAACUUUAGCGAGAGAAAAGAGAAGAGGAUCACCAUCCUGCAUGGGCACUUCCUCCAUGGGAAAUAUUGGAGUAGCAGGUUCGUACAAUUUAGAAUCAGAUAUGGAAAUGGUUGCAGAAUCAGAGUCCUCUCCAACUGUUUCUUGCUUUGAACGCCUAGUGUGAACCUUCUUAUUCUCAGGCAUCUUUAUGUUUUUAGAAUCAGUGUAAGGACACACAGGUGAUUUUAUCCUCCGACACUUGCAACACUUGAAACCAGCCACUUCAGAAAUCUUUGACUCGUUGAGCUCAACAGCUUCAGCAUGGUACCAAUCUGCAUCACCACAAACAUAAUCCACCUUAGACACAUGCACACUCAGAGAGAGAGAGAGAGAGAGAGAGAGAGAGAGAGAGAGAGAGAGAGAGAGAGAGAGAGAGAGAGAGAGAGAGAGAGAGAGAGAGAGAGAGAGAGAGAGAGAGAGAGAGAGAGAGAGAGAGAGAAAGAGAGAGAGAGAGAGAUUGCCAAAAAUACCACUUAUGGGAGCACACUUACUUUUGCAAGUUUCGCAGCAUAUAUACAUCAGAUCUGACUGAUAUGGCAUAUGGCACAAGUGGCAAACAGGAUACAACCCAUGCACUUCUGAACCAUCCGCAAGAAGUAUGUUAUUAAGCAGGAAAUCAGUGUCAGUUUCCUGGCCGUUCUUCUUUUUCCAUAUAAUACCCCAAGAACAAAUGCCGCGACGUCUUUUUGCUGCCAAAGCAGACUCUGAAGUUGCUUUCUUCUCGGAACGCGUCUCUUGUCCUUUGACAUGUGUUACUGGUUGAUUGUAAUUUUUGGUCCGUGCAACACUGGUGACUGUCAUGGGAGUUUGAUAUUCUUGCAUUUGCAAGUGCAAAGGACUAGUUGGAGACUCCUUCAAGUUUUCAUUUUUAGUGAAAGCCUUUGCAUGGUAGCACUGCUUGCAAGUGAUCAAGAACUCAACCUCUUCAUUUGUAGAAACUGUUGAACUCAUAGUACAGUCCUCAUGACAAUAACCUGACAACAAUACAGAAGAAAUUGCAAACAUUGGUAAAAAAAACUUUAAAUACGUUUAAGAAGUUGGUAUUUGAUCAUAUAAUUAGCAAAUCCUGCAUUUUAAAAAAGUGGGUAGUUACUUGGCAACUCUUGCUUAAAUCACAUUUUUUAAGAGAUUCCUAAUUAAAACACUGCAUUCGUAAAGACUAAAAGAAGGUUGUGUCAAUGUACCUUGACAGAUGCUGCACUUGAAUGCAUUCCUGAAUUUACAACAGAGAAAUAAUGACUCAGUUUUUGACAUAGCAGUAUAGAGAACUUAACAAUUAAAAAGAAUAAAUCAUAUGUUGUAGUUACCGCAUUAAAACAUUCAGUUGACAUGAAGAGCAGGAACACAAGUCCAGAUUCUCUCUCUUGCACACAAGAUAGAAAAAUAUGUCCCUGCGGGGAACCUUCCACUGCUGUUUCUGUAACUUGCGAAACAUAUUCAAAGGCUCCUCAGCUGAUGGCAAAAGAGCUUUGCCCACCCUUUCUUCAUAUUCUUUAAUCAAAUAUAAAGGAAUGCGCAGUUCAGGAAACCAAAACUUGUUAUAUCCAUCUUGACUUUCCUCUGUUUCAAUGAUACUCUUCAUUACACGGUUAGGCAGAUGCUUUUGACUACCAAAAUCAACCCCAUAUAUGGUACUGUUCUUCACAGAUUUUUUAUCACAUAUAUUUGCAUUUCUAAAAACAGAUGCAUCUGUCUCCACACCCUUCCCAUCAGGGAGGUUCUGCUCAGGACGAACAAGAUCACUCCAUCUCAGAUGAUAGUCCAAAUAUCUGACCUGGUGAAAUAUUACAGUUGAAGUUUCUUAAGUUAUCAACUACAUACAUCACCAGGUAACUUAAUAUGUUGCCAGGCCAAGAGAUAUAGGGGUGAACAGAGCAAGGAAUUUAGGUAUUUGCAAGAUAAUAACAAACCUGAAGCGCAAGCUGUGAUGCGUUCUUACUCAUUUCAACUGCAGCCCUCCAUACCGACUGCCUGCUUCUUUUAGGAAUCUCAGAACCAUCAGCAUAAGAUAUACCAGGUAUUUUCUUCCAACCACCUAACGGACCACCAAAAAAGCCUUUAGUACAGAUCCCUGGAAGGAAAACCUUCAAUAAUUCAAAGAUAUCAUAGGGGAGGAAAACAGCUAGUUUUGUGGAAAGGCAAAGACAGAAGUUACCCUGGCGAGCUGCUUUUUUAACCAGUGAAAAUGAUAAAAUUGCUCUCUGGAAUAUAAGCUUUGAUAGCUUCCCACCUUGCCACCAGACAAAACUCUGGUCAUGGCAAUCAUCAUCUUUAUCGUCAUGAAUCGCAUUCUGCUUCCUACCCCUCCUGCUGUUUGGUCCGCGUUUUUGUGUAGGGCCAACAGAGCAAGUUGCACUUUGAAUCAUCAAAGAUUCAACCAACCAAUCAUCCACCAGCUUAAUCCACUCCCCAGAUAGAGCAAUGGUUCGGAUAUUUGCCUCAAGCUGCAGAUAAGAGACACAUCAUCCAUCAGAACAAAUGCAUAAGCAUGAAAAUAUAUAUCACAAAAUAAUACACCCAUAUAUAGGAUAUACAAGGGAAUUAAAUAAACCGCAGGUCAAAAUUUAGGGAAGAAAAUAAUAUGAGAUGCAUAACUUGUUUCAAGGAACCUACCCAGGCAUCUUAUGCAUUUUUGAGUCACACAUAUGCACACACUGCUGCUAUAAAUAUUGUUUAAAAACUAACGAAAAGCAGAGAAGUAAGCACUAUGCUGCAACCAAAGUAGUCAUAAAAUACAAGAGGAUUAUUUAACUAAAAUAUUCCGGUACAGAUUCAACAGAAUAACUAAAAAGUUUUCACUAUGCUAGAAUAAUGAAGUGAUUGCACUUAUAUUGCACUCAUUCCUACUAAAUUAGUAAAUUUGUAUAACUUGGCUGGCAUUGGUCUUUCUCACUAAUCUUUACAAGUCAUGUGAAACUUAAAAAGAAAAAAAAUAGCAUAUAUAUUACCAAAAGACGAGCAAAAUGAAACUGAUCAAUGAAAUUAAAAUUUUAAUUGGCAAACUUCAACUUCAAAGAAAAUUGCAUAAUUGCCAAUUAGUAGAAAUUUCAAAUCUCAUGCUUUCAAUAUAUCUACUGAACUCAAAAAUUUAAAUUGAAACUCAAAUCAGAUCGCAAAAGUUAAGACAUAAAUGGCAAUAAAUGUCCCUAUAAUCCUGCAACUGUCCUAAUGAGUGGUUUGAAAUUGGUCCUCUGAUUUCAGUAGUCCAUUUAAUCUAACCAAAAUCAUUUUAGGCAUCACUUGUCAGCAGUUGACAUAGGAAGUUUAAUGAUGAAGGCCAGAUCAUAAACAGUGCCAUUAAGUUUCAUGUGGUGGAGCUCAUGGAAGAUAGAAACUAAGGCCCCUUUCACUAAACAUACUGACCAACUAAUAUCUUCACAAAAAAACAGACGUCAGGAUAUUAAAAACUUACUUCAAGCAAUAGCGCUUUUAUUGCACGGAAACUUGAUCCUUGAUAAAUUUGUUUGCGCCACUGGUUUCUAUAAUUUUCAUUUACAAAGGGUCCAGUUACUAGGCCACCUAAACUCUCCUCCAUGUAUAAAACAUAUGUUGCAAUGCUUACAAGAUUCCCCUCCCCAUUCUUUAUUGGAUGCAGGCUGGCAAGGGUCUUCAUAGUACCUUUGGUGGCACUCAAAGCAGCAUGAUUUAGCAUACAUCCUCUCUUGCUUGACACUGAAGCCUUACAAGAAAGACACCAACCACACCUCUCCCUUGGAACCUCCACAAGCUUCUUUUCAGAACUUGGCCAGAAGAAUCGUGAGGCUGUUAAUGAGAAGGCUUUUGUUUGCAAUGAAAUGUUUGCAGACGCAACUUUCCUGGGAUUGCCUAAAGCCUGACUAUCUGAGACCCGAGUUUCUUCUGAUGAUAUUGCAGCAAGUUUGGAAGCAGCAGAUGCAGCAAACUCUCCAUGCAUAUAGUAAUUUAUGUAUGCCUGAGGUUUAUAAAAAGCCCCCAUGCAUGCAUGCUCACUGUAAGAACUGUUGAUGUUCCCUGAGGUGCAUGUACUACGGGCUACUGCAAGCGGUCUCUCAACUGAACUUUGGUGGGUCAGAUGAGAUGGAUCAGCCUGCUGGCUACCAGUACCAUUAGGAUCAGAAAAUUCCAUUUUCUGCCUUGUACGUAUCUUGAUAAUCAAGGGCCGGCGCUCCUGUGGUUCACUGCCACCAUUGCUCUGAAAAUUAGGAAGGUCAGCUUGGAUCUUAUCAGAGGCAUUGAGAGAUGAAGCUGCCGUGUAACCUAAAUUGGUACCACUUACACUAGUCACAUAAUUCUCAGCCUUGAUCGGAUCUGUAACUGUAUGAUUUUCCUUGCCAGGCAAAGGAAGUGACCGAGUAGAAGAUUUUGCACCUUCCUUUGUAUAUUCCAAUGGAAUUUCUGUUUCAGUUGCUUCUGGAAAAGAUAAGAUACUUUCUGGAAUACUCCAAUAUUGUAAAAUUGCCUUGCACACAUCCGAGUAUAAAGCUGUAUGUUGGCCAGAUGAAUGUAAAACUUUAAGGACUUUUGGAAUAUCAUUCUGAUUGUAAUAUCUAACACAUGGUUCUGUAUUGAUAGUUUCCUUGAGCCUGCAAAAAUCAUGCCAGGAGAUUAAAACAAGCAAGCGGAUAGGUUGAAUGACAUUCCAAAUGAAUGAGAAGACAUUAAGAGCAAGACAUAUAGACAGAACUGGAGAAAAAAAUCAAAGUCCAAGGCAGAGACGGAGGUAUCUCCACGAACCAAUAAUAAUGAAUUUUUUUUAGGAAAAAGGUUCGUCAGUAAUUAAAAUACAUAGCAAACACAAGAAGGGGGAACUAAAAACCAAAGAUGUUGAAAACAUACACCAGUAAGUGGUUGCAAGUACCCAUGAAGAUGUGCUCGUAGGAAUCAAUGCCAAAUAUUUGUGCUCCUUUAACAGAUGUUCCCAUUGUAAUUGUUGGCCCAAUCUUAUCAAUUGUGCACUCAGGACAAUACCAGGACCCUUCUGGUAUAGACAAUUUCAUAACACCAAUACACCUUGUGUGGUAAGCAGAAGGACACCCAUCACAGCAAAGCAAGGUUCCAUCCAUGCCACAAAGCCGACAUUCAUCAGAGUUGUGAUCUACAUCAUCCAUGUCCUCUUUUACACCUUUGGAACUGAUUGAAUUAGCAUUACCAGAUGUGUGAUUAGUUUCCACCUCUUCUCUGUCCUUCCAGGCGGAAGUUUUAGAAUAUCUCGGGUGGACCCUUCUUGGCCCACUUACAAGAGGAUUCGUUACUUCUGCAUCAUAAUCUAUUCCGACUUCUGAUUCUUCACGCAUGUCUAAUUCAUCUCUCAGAUCUUUAGCAUCUAAGACAUCGUCGCAAAGGAUUUGCAAAAUAAUUAACUUUCUACCAACUGAUAGUAGAUAAUACUCCUUGCCCAAAACAUCAUUAUAAAAGCCUCUCCAAUCAGGUCCUUUUGUAUAUCCCAUAAUUGUCAAAUACUGGACCAAGUAAACUGGCCAAGUCAAUGUAUCAAUCAAGUUCCAAUCAAUGCACCUGCAAAUAAAUUAUAAACAUAAUCCUGAAAGUUUAGUAAUGGAACUAUAAACAAAAACAUCAGAUAUGUGUAUAUAGUAAUAUUGUACUGCAAUCAUUUUUCUGGUUGUAGAAGGGUAGCUAGGUUACUACCAUACGCACUUGAAGCUAAUAUGGCUCCUGCAAUAUACUGAUAUUGUAAAAGAUCCAAUCAACUAAUGCACUGAGAGUUGUAUGUAUACCUCAAACACUUUGGUGCUACCUCUGAGCCAUCAGAUGAGAGUGUUUCAAGAUGACGCCUCAAAGCACGCAGCAAAACAACAUGAAUUGCAUCCAACAGUGUGUUUGGAGCACAGCAAUUAAGCGAUCCCACAAAAUCAUCCAGUGUGAAGGGGUUCAAGAACAGGGAGAUGCUAAGUGAUCGCAAGAAACCAUAUACGGAGAAAAGAUGUGAAACAUACUGCUCUGGCACGCCUAUGGUACCUGAAGAAGGCGGCAAUUGUGGUGGUGGGACAGGGGGUGGCUUAUCAUCAAAACCCAUAUCUCUAUCCCGUGCAUACUCACUUGAAUCACUAGACGAAUCAUCGUCACCUUCAAUUUGAGUCUCAUCACUCUCGAUCUUUACUCCACCGCCCAAAUCACUCAAUGCUGGUGAGUCGAUCCUAUCCACCUCCUGGACUGAGUUUACAACAUUCUUAUCCAACCCAGCUGCAGUUUCCCUAUUCAAUUUCGACACUAAAUCAUCUAAUUUCUUCCUCCUAACAUUCAAACCAGUGUCAAAAUCAUCAUCACCAACAAGGAUGCCACGAAUCUCGCGACUCUCCAAGUCCUCACAAUCGCCAUCUUCGUAAUUAACUCUAUACAACCCGGCACCAUAAUACACAACUUUCCCAAGAAAAAUCCCACUCCUUCCGAAGUCUUUCAACACAUAUCUACCCACCAACACAAUCAACCUUGUCUCCACAGCCCGUUUCUUAGCUUCCGGACCAAAUUUCAGGUCCUUUUCAUCCUCCGCUUUACGCUUCCUAGGGCGACCCCUCUUUUUGACCACCGGAUUGUCCAUAUAGCCAAUCGGAUCGGAUCCCAACCCGAAAUCAAACCGCCACAAAAGCCCUAAGCUUUUCCCCAAAAUUAAAGCGUCUUAGACUAUCGCUAAGUAGUAAGAUUUGGAUAACAAUUCAUCCAAAAUGCUGCAAAAUCCAGGUGUGUUCAGGCAGAUCCUAUCGAACCAAAAAACAAAAGCAAUCGAGGAGUGAAUAUAAAAUUGUUUGAACUUAGUUCCAAUAAAAAAAGAAGCAUUCAGAUUCGAAAAUUGUGCUUUUUCUGCUGAUUGAGAAGUGGAAUAAAUAUAUAUGUGCAACGACGAUACCUGGUUAGGGUUUGAUAACCACCAUUGGAGAUGCCUCUGGGAGCUUCGGGAGAGAGAUAGAGAGCCACACAGAGAGGGGGAAGAGAGAGAGAGAGAAGCCCUAUUGGGACAAACCAAUUCGGAACAAAGGGCGUGUUUGGCAUGCCGGAUAACACAGAUAGUACUAUCUAAUACUAUCCGGUGUUUGGUGCUAUUCCAUAUUAAAUUAUCACUGGAUUUUUUAUGCGGUCCGGCUUAUUUUAUACGACGUACGCCGAAUAACUUAUACACUUCAAAUCGUUGGUAUUAAUUAGUCGGGUCGCUGAAAACAAAAUCAAGCUGUCUCUUUUUCCAUCUCUCUUGCUAGUUUUAAAUUGUGAAACUCAGUGUCAAAUGUUCUUUAAUCUCAUUUUGAGGAAGUAAAUGAACAUGAUAAUCUUUGAUGAAUUGAGUUUUUAAUCCUGUACUGCACCAAACACCCGAUUAAAUAGUCAGUACGCUCGACUAAAUAGUCAGUACUAUCCGAUGACAAAUUAGUUUUUUUCACGAGUCGCCAGUUUGAACUCGGACGAGUUGGUUUUAUACAAUUUUUUUUUUGUGGCAUAGAUUAUUGCGUGGCAAUGUUUACCAAAAAUUGAAAUAAUUCCAUAGUGUGGUAUUUCGUGUGUUGCGGCUCUGUGAUACCCUGUGGGGCAGCUUUAUGUAACAAUUGUAAUCCCUCACUUCCCCAUUUUGGUAAAUUGAAGGGUGAGUAUUCAAUCACAAUUUAGAGUAAAUUGUAGCUAUGGUCCCUUAACUUUAGCCUAAUUGGAGCAAUGAUCUCUCAACUAAAAAUUCAUUACCAUUGGUCCCUCAACUCAUCAAAACAUGCAGCUAUGAUCCCUUAACUAAAAAUUCAUUAUCAUUGGUCCCUCAACUUUAAUUCAACUGGAGAAAUGGUCCAUUAACUUUAACCCAAUUGUAGUAAUAGUCCUUCCAACAUAACUUGUUUUGACAAAUGUUUUGACGUAGUUGAUGAAAAUGACCAUAAUUACACUUUGAUGAGUUGGGGAACCCUAAUUAUAUAAAUGGUUAUUCCAACAAAACUUAUUUUGACGAAAUUGAUGAAAAGUACUAUAGCUACACAUUUUGAUAAGUUGAGAGACCAAUGGUAGUGGAUUUUUAGUUGAGGGAUCAUUGCUUCAAUUUGAUUAAAGUUGAAGGACCAUUGCUACAAUUUACUCCACAAUUUAAACAGAAUUAUAAAAGGUGUAGUAUAUUUAAUCAAAAUUUGAUUUUAAGUAAUUUAAAAAAAAUGAAGGAUAUCAUAAUUUAAACAGAAUUAUAAAAGAUGUAGUAUAUUUAAUCAGAAUUUGAUUUUAAAUAAUUAUAAAAAGUGAAGGAUUUUGAUAAAUUUGGAGCUAUAUCACAAUAUACUUUAGGUAUUAACAAAUCAUGCAUCUUCACCAACAAAGAAAAAAAAAAGCAACUUUCAUCAAAUUAUAAUAAGAUCUUUUAAAAUCUCAAUUGAGUAUAAGCUUUAAAGAGAAAGAAAAUAAUACAUAUAGUUAACAUUUUAACAAAUGUUACUUUUUGAAAGAAAAUACGAUGUUCUCAUUAAUACGAGAAGAGAAAACAUUCAAACUGAUAUACAUUUGCAAAAAAAAAAAUAAUAAUAAUAAUUCUUGACUAUCAAGCAAUUCAAAGAAUUUUUUUUGUAAGCAUGAGUAAAGUUAUUAUUAUUAAUUUUAGUGUCAGAUGUCAAAUUCAACGUUGUAAACUUUAUCAUAAUAUGAACUUUGUAAGAUAUUAUUUGUAAAUAAUCACCAUUGCAUCUCUCACCUCCAACCAUCACUUAUAACAAACAAAUAAAAAUCAAUAAAUAAAAUCAUGUUCUUUUAUCACAAUAAAUAGAUAAAUAAAACUAUAAAAACAUGUUCAAGUAUAUGAAGUGAAAUAUUCAAAUCUAUGUAGAGACUUUGCAAAUUAUUAUCUUCAUUUUAAAACAAAUAUUAUUAUUAAGGAAAGGGGAAUGAAAAGCUCGAAACUAUUAUAAUUUAUUUAGGAGAUUGAGAGUUUCGAACUAGAGACCCAUAAGUGAAAACUCAAGACCAUAUCUACUAAGAUAUUCGACCACAUGGAGAUUACUGUUUAUAAAAAAAAAAACCAAAACUUAUAUUUUCUACAUUGUCCCCACCACCCACGAACUUAAGUAUCCCAUGAGGUUUGGUAUUGGUUGAUUUUUUUCCAAUUGUCAGUUGAUUAAAACAAUUGCACAACAAAGAAACGUUUGUAUUGAUACACAAUCCAUCCCCACAUAACUAACUUAGACGUAAUAAAUAUAAAUAAGUUCAAAACCCCAAUACCCGUGUACACGAGAGACGCAGAGUUGGCUCAGAGCCGUGGUGAGUUAACUCAGUAAGUUAAUCCGAUCCAUGCAAUAGAAGCUUAAUGGCACACAUUUCGUCAUUUUCUUUUCACUGCUGAGGAGCACAUUGUUGAGCAAAAUGGCGGGAACAAUUUCCCUUGGUGGAAUUCCCCACCAAAUUCUUCAAGGCUUCAAAUAACUGAAUGCAUAGUUCAAAUGUAGUUGGUAGUUGUUACUACACAAACAUAAUAUCCAAAUAAAAGUACAUAUUACAAAUGUUUUUUUUUUCUCUCUUGUUUAACAAGUUGGCAUGGAAUGUUGUUAGACUUUUAAUCGGAACCAAGAUGAAGGGUAUGUUUGUGUGUGCUUUUAAAGUGACUGAAAGCGCUUUUAAAUUUUAAUGAAAGUGCUCUUGAAACUAAUCCUUAGUCAAAGUACAAGUGAAUCCUGAAAUAUCACUUUAAGUGCUUUUUUGCAAAAAGGACAUAAUUGGUGUUUCUUCCAAAAUGUAUUUCAAGUGUUUUUGGAACUCAAAAACAUUUGCACUAUAAGUGUUCUAUCAUUUUAAAAGCGUUUCCAAACGAGCUCGAAGUCAUUAGAAUCUCAUUAGUAUAAUAAUUAAGGAGAUGUUAUUAACACUUCAAAAAAGUAACCAUGCACUUAAUUCCUAGUGAAAACUAAGCGAGAAUGGCUAAUAACAAUUUCCUAUCAUUAUGCAAUGGUGAUUUUUAAGAAACUAAUAGCCCAUUGUAAGGUUUAGCUUAGCCCUUCUCCUUAGUGUAGAUAUAUUGUUUGUUAAAAAAAAAUGACGCAUUUAUGUUAUGCCUGUAUAGAAUCCAAGGGCAAGAAGUUUUUUUAUUUCAUAUAUGUUGUUUAAAGGUUCAUGGGGUGGAGGAGGAAGAUUAGUUGGUCAUAUGCCAAGACCAACUGGUGUGGUCUCAUGCUUCAAUGAUGGUGUGUAUUUCAGAACCUUUUAUUGCUCUGUCAGCUCUUUAUCAUUCUUUUUGGCAUUCUUUUUGUUUAUUCCAUGUGGCUACUAACAAUCGGGUCCUUUGGAGCCCAAUCUUUGGCUUUUACGUGUUCAUAAUUUGUCAGUACAGGUUAUUUCGAUUUAUUCAUAACAGCUGACCAUCUCUUGUGACUUAGAUUCCAUUUCUUGUGUAUUUUCUUGGGUAUAUAUAUGCCAAGACCACCUAUAUUAAGCGACGUGUUUUAUCGGAGGAACUCAGGGCCAUCUUUAAUUCUCAUGGUCACACACCUUGGAUUAUGCUUGGAGAUUUUAAUUGUGUUUUGGGUGCCCAUGAAAAAAAGAGGAUGUGUUCUCCCUAACCCUUGCUUGAAAUUUCAAACUAUGUUUUACUGAAUGUGGUUUGCUUCACUUUCCAACAAAAAGGUCUCCCUUUCACUUGGGUACAACGAGGCCUAUGAGGGAGUGUUGAAAUGAGUUUGAAUAGAUGUGUUGGUUAUUGAAUUUGGUUAUUUAAUUGGGUUGAUUCUUGGGGUUCUUCUGAGUGCACUACUUUGUCUCGUAUAUCUUCAUAUCAUUGCCCGCUUCUUAUGUCUUUUAGUCGGGUAUCUGCGGUGCCAAGAGUUCAUUUUCCCUUUCAGAGAAUGUGGUUAGAAAGCUCAAAUGUUAUUUUGUUGGUUUCUAACACAUAAGUUGGGCUUCGCUUUUUGGGUGAUCUAAUGUCAUCCUUAGCAGCUAAGUUGCGAGUUCUUAAAGGUAAGCUUUGGGCAUGGAACUGGUAUUUUUUUUAGAGAUGUCAACUCUGUUGUCGAUAAUUCUUUGCAUGAUUUGGAAGUAAUACAGGAGGAAACUGCUUAUCUUGGUCAUCUGAUGAUAGAUUUGUUGUGCUUGAGCACCAAAUUGAACAAAUAAAAUGAAAGAAAUAACUCUCAAUUUAUUAAUUGAUUGAGAUAACAAAUGUACAAAGAAGAAUCUCACAUAUUGGCUCACACAAAUUAUUUCUACGUGAGCUCCUUUUAUUACAAAACAAAUGGUUUGCCUUCUAAUAUGUAAAGCCAUAAACAAGUUUGUGAUGGAGAGAAAAACAAGGAUAACCAAUACAAAGUAAUUGACCAAGAUUUAUAUCGAGCCACAUGUCUACAAUCUCCACCUUGGCGAGAUUCGUAAUCACAAACAUAUUCAGGCACAUAUAUGAGCUAUGUUCAAACAAUGCUCAAACUUGGCAGGUCCGAGCGCUUUAGUUAAUAUAUCAGUUGGGUUGUCCGCAGUUGGAACUUUCUGAAGAAUAAUCUUUCUUUUGGACAAAAUCUCACUAAUAAAAUGAAACUGAACAUUGAUAUGCUUUGUCCUCGAAUGAUAAACUUGGUAUUUUGACAAGUGAAUAGCACUUUGACUAUCACAAUGUAGCUCCACUUGCUUUUAAUAAAUUCCUAGAUUCUUUAUCAGUCCAUGUAUCCAAAUGGCCUCAUUUACAGCUUCUGCAAUAGCCAUAUAUUCGGCCUCCGUUGUUGACAAAGCGACUGUGGAUUGUAGUGUGGACCUUUAACUAAUUGGCCCUUUGGCCAUGGUAAAUAAGUAGCCAGUAGUCGAUCUUCUUUUAUCCAAAUCUCCAUCAUAGUCAGAAUCAACAUAUCCAACCACAAAAUUCUCAAAACUAUUAUCACUUCGUUGAAAACAUAAGCCGACAUCUCUAGUCCCAUGUAGGUAUCUUAGAAUCCACUUAGCUACUUGCCAAUGUUCUUUUCUUGGAUUGGGCAUGUAGUGACUAACCAAACCAACAUCAUGAGCAAUAUAGGUUUGGUGGCAUCAUUAAUACCAAAACAUUGAAGCAAUUUACACAAAUAUUGCUUUUGUGUAAGAUACACCAUACAUUUUUCUUGGUUACGAGUAAUUUCCAUACCGAGUACCUUUUUCACUUCACCAAGAUGUUUCAUCUCAAACUUGUUCUUUAUUUGUGCUUUCAACUUUUCAAUAUCCUUAACAUUCUUCGAUGCAAUUAACAUAUCAUCAACAUACAAUAAUAAAUAAAUGAAAGACCCAUCUUGUAACUUUUUGAAAUAAACGCAAUGAUCAUAUUGACUUUUUAAAUAAUGUUGACCUCUCAUGAAUUCGUCAAACUUCAAAUACCACUGUCUUGGAGAUUGCUUCAAUGCACACAAAGACUUAUUCAAUUUACAAACCCAUUUCUCUUUUCUAGUUACAUGAUACCCAUCAGGUUGAGACAUGUAAAUUUCUUCAUCAAGAUCUCCAUGUAAGAAAGCUGUCUUAACAUCAAGUUGCACUAGUUUAGGAUCAAAUUGUGCAACAAAGGCUAACAUAAUACGAAUAGAUGAAUGAUUCACAACAGGAGAAAGUACUUCAUUAUAAUCAAUACCUUCCUUUUGUGCAUAUCCUUUUGCUACAACUUGUGCUUUGAAUCUUACAUUGUCUUCUCCUGGAUGACCUUCUUUUUUAGUAUACACCUAUUUGCAGCCAAUAGCUCUUGCUGGGAGGCAAUUGAACUAACUCCCAAAUGUUGUUCUUCACAAGAGAAUUCAUUUCUUCAUCCAUAGCCUUACCCCACUUUGUAUUUUCAGAGCUGUUCAUAGCUUCCUUGUAACUUUCUGGGAUUUCUGUAUUAAUAAUAGGAAGAGCAUAAGUAACAUAAUCACUAUAUCUUGCUGGUCUCUUUGUGUUUCUCUUGCCUUUGCUUGUAGCAAUGCACUCUAUAACUGGAGGCUGUUGGGUAUGAGCCUCUUCUUCAUCCUGGGAAAAGACGUCUUUAUCUUCUUGACCUUCAUUUACUUCUUGUUCAGUCAAAACAUGUAAUGGAAUAUUGGUAGCAAUCUUUUCAAACUCCACCUCCUGAAAACUUCUCAUAGGAACUUGAGUUGUAUCAAUGCUUGUCUUUGAGUUGCUUUGUAACAUAGAAGUUUCGUCAAAAGUCAUAUAUCUGCUGAUUACAAGUUUCUUCAAAUAUGGACACCACAAACGGUAACCUUUGACACCGUUGUUAAAGCCCACAAAAAUAGCCUUCUUGGCUCUUGGAUCAAGCUUACUUUGAGUCACAUGGAAAUAAACUGGACAACCAAAAAUAUGAAGAAAAUCAUAAUCAGAAGCUCGUUUUCCAGUCCACCUCUCAAUAGGUGUUUUACCUUCAAUUGCAGAUGAAGGUAAACGAUUGAUAAUGUGACAAGCAUAUGUAAUUGCCUAUGCCCAAAAUGCCUUACUUAAACCAAAUUGAGCCAACAUACAUCUAACCUUUUCGAGUAACGUUCUGUUCAACCUUUCAGCAACUCCAUUUUGUUAAGGAGUACCACGAACAGUGAAAUACCUUAUUAUACAUUUUUCUGUAUAAACUCUGAAAAAUGGAUUAGAGGUGUAUUCACCACUAUUAUCUGACCUCAAAACUUUAAUUUUCUUACCAGUUUGGUUUUCAACCAUUUUCUUCCAGUUUAAGAAAAUAUUUAACACCUCAUCUUUGUGUUUCAUUGUAUAAACCCAAGCCCUUCUAGAGUAGUCAUCAACAAAAGUUACAAACCAAUGCUUACCACUCAAUGAUGCAGUCUUGGUAGGAACCUAAACAUCUGAAUGCACAUAAUCUAGGAUUCCUUUAGUUUGAUGCACAACAGUACCAAAUUUAACUUUGGUUUGCUUACCCAAGACACAAUGCUCGCAGAAGUCGAGUUUGCAAGUUUUGGCUCCUUUUAGCAGUACCUGUUUCACAAGGGCUUGAAGAGCUUUUUCACCAACAUGUCCAAGUCUCAUAUGCCAUAACUUGGUGUUGUCAGUAUCUGGUUUUUCAGAAAUUGUGGCUGCACCACCUAAAACUGUUUUCACCUGCAUGAAAUAUAUAUUCUGCUUUCGGAUUCCCUUCAUCGUAACCAAAGCACCUUUAAUAACUUUUAGAACACCAUCUGACAUAUUUACAUUAAACCCAUUGCUUUCCACCACACAUUAGACAAUUCUUUGCCAUCAUGGUGUUUCAACUUAAAUUGUUCCUACUCCCUUUUUAUCACAUGCAUAAUAACAGUUCCUGCCUUUACAACUUCUAGAUUGGUAAACCAAUCUCGAUUUGGACACAUAUGAUGAAAACAACCAGAAUCCAAAAUCCAUACAUCAGAAUCACAAGUAGAAGUAACAGCCAAAGCAUAAUCAGAUUCAUCAUCACUAAGUGCAACAUUAGCAUUGGUGUUUCUGUUAUUCUUCUGCAACUUAGGGCAAUCCUUUAUCCAAUGUCCCUUUGUAUGACAAAAUGCACAUUCAUCUUUGUCUAAUAAUUUUCUAUUUUGUGAAUUACCUCAUGGUUGAGACUGAGAUCUUCUUUUGUUAUUGAAUCUCCAUCUUUCAUUCAUUUUGCCUCUAACAAACAAAGCACCUGAUGUUGUAUUCUGGACUUGCUUAUCUUUAUGUCUAACUUCAUGGUUCAUCAAUGCAUUAGACACAUCUUCAAAAUUUAUGGUGUCUUUACCAUAAAUUAAAGUAGUAGCUAAAUGAUCAUACGCCUCAGGUAAUGAAUUUAACAAAAUCAAGGCUUUAUCUUCAUCCUUGACAUCUUCAUCUAAAUUUAACAAAUCAGCGAUUAAUUUGUUAAAUGAAUCGAGGUGUGUAAUCAUUUUCAUACCUUCUUUGUAUUGGAAUCAGUAUAACUGCUUUUUCAAAUGGAGGCGAUUUUCGUUGCUCUUUGUCAUGUACUUGUCCUCCAAUUUUUGCCAUAUCGACUUAGCUGACGUUUCUCGCAUGACAAAAUACUUUUGAGGUUUUGCAAGACAUAAGCGAAUGUUAGAAACCAAUCAAAUGUCACUUAUACAAUAUAUAUAAUUUGCACAGUUUAUUUCGAAUGAAAAAUUUAACAACAGAUACAAUAAAUAUCAAAAUAUAAACACUUAAGUAAAUUGCAUAUAAAAUCACAAAUCACUGACUUGUUUUUUGAAGAUAGAGGCUUGCAAAUGCAAUCACCUAAGACAGAAAUUCGCCCCUACACCCGUGCAAUAGUUCAAUGGACGUCUAUCUUGCAGGAUACAACUAUCUAAUCCAAGUUCUUGCACUCGAACUUGGAUUCUUGGCGAAUUGGUUGUGCGUUUCUCUGUGUAAGAUGAAAAAGGAAACGUUGGAAAUUAAUUGUUAAGUUUCUGAUCUUAUUGCCAUAUAUAUAAUGACAUAACUUGAACAAAUGUAACCGUUCAUUCUUAUUAGUUAUAAAAUGGACAUAACUGUUCAUUCAGUUUUAUCCUUUCAGAAAAACUGAAUCCAAAAAAUAAAAAACGUAACUUUUGUUUUUCGUCCAUCCGAGCCCAAGAGCCCCAAUGCCCAAGACCCAUCUUUGACAUUUAAUAUAUACACCCACACCCUUCAAGUCUAAGGCCCAAGGUCCAUGGCUUUGGCCCAAUUCUUUUCAAACCAUAAGUGUGAGAACAUACGUAUAAAAAGGACUUAAAUUAGGGAAAUAGGCGAUGUGGGACUGGGAAUCCCACAAAAUCACAAGUUCCAACAGUGAAUUGUAGAGCAAAGCCAUUCGAUUUAUCUUCUAACGUCAGAUCCAAAUCUUGUUCCACUCAACUUCUUCCAUAUCCUCCAACUUAUCUUCUAACGUCAGAUCCAAAUCUUGUUGAGCCAACACAUCUUUCACCUCACAUUCCACAUACCAAAGUUAUUUGUUCCAUUGAACGUUUCAACUUCAAACUUUGCAUUUUGGAUUGUUGUUUUUGCCAAACGCGAAGCGUGUGUUUCUGGCAAAGGAUGUGCGCCUCCGGAUCCCGAUUGAUCAUCCAUCUUUGUCAAGCAAAUUUCAAAUACAAACUUUGAUAUGGAUGAGCCUAGUGGCUCUGAUACCAAUUGUUGUGCUUGAGCACCAAAUGGAACAAAUAAAAUGAAAGAAAUAACUCUCAAUUUAUUAAUUGAUUGAGAUAACAAAUGUACAAAGAAGAAUCUCACAAAUUGGCUCACACAAAUUAUUUCUACGUGAGCUCCUUUUAUUACAAAACAAAUGGUUUGCCUUCUAAUACGUAAAGCCAUAAACAAGUUUGUGAUGGAGAGAAAAACAAGGAUAACCAAUACAAAGUAAUUGACCAAGAUUUAUAUCGAGCCACAUGUCAACAAGAGUUGCACGAGAAAUGCAAGCCCGAGGGCUUGUACAUGAGGUUCUUCGGUUACAAAAAAUGCAUUUGAAGGAUAAAUCUUGAGUUCUUUGGUUAUCUCUAGGGAAUAGGAAUACUAAAUUUUUUCACUCUAUUGUGAAAUUCAAAAAGCUUCAUCAAUCUUUGGCAUCAGUUUGUGUGGGUUUCAUGUAUUGGAUGAUCUGGUCUCUAUACAAGAUCACAUCGUGACAUAUUCGAACUGGAUUGGUGUGGCUGGGUUUUAAAAAGGUUCUCCCUAUAAUUUCUUCACAUUCAAUUUGGAUUGUAGGUGAUGGUUCUCAAGUUUCUUUUUGAUCUAAUAAUUGGUUAGGCAGUCUAUCGAUUUCCUAUCUUAACACCUCUCAUGCUCUUGCUUAUGCAAUCAAAGCACGAGUGAGAGACUUUAUAUGUGGUUCUCAUUGAAUUGCCGCUAGAUUUCAUUAAUUUUUUUUCUUCCUAAAGUUGCUGCUUUAAUUAUAGCUACUCCUAUAACGUUUCAGACAUCUUCCGAUUCUUUAUGUUGGUGUGAAUCUCUCUCUGGUAUUCUUAUAGCUAAAAAGGCUUAUUCUCACUUGCUUAACUUUGAUACCCAGGUGCCUUUGGGAAAAAGGUCUCAUCAUAUUCAACCAAGGUAAAGCCUAACUAUUUUGGAAAGUUUUUACAUGGUUGUCUCCUUACUACUACAAUGCCUCAACUUAUGGGAGUUUCAAUAGUUUCUCGUUGCUCAUUUUGUAAUUCAACUGUUGAGUCUCUAUCUCACAUUUUUUUUGGAACGUUCUUAAACUGUUGGUAUUUGGUCUUGGUUGUUAUAGCUUUAGUGGUUCAAUCAAUAUCAUUUCUGAAACUUUUUCUUACAUAUUUUCCUAGUUCUACUCGAAAACUUUGGAUUAUAGUGGCUUGUACUUUUAUUGGGGACUUUGGUUUCUUUGCAAUCAAAUUCGAUUUGAGGGCAAGUCUACUUUCCUGGAUUAUGCGUGGCUAGCUACUCGGUUUCGUGACUUGGCUCUAGUGUGUUUUUCAAGUGGUAGCUCAUCCUCUUCAGUGUUGCCUAUUUUCUCAAUAUGGGUAUCUCGCUGUUUCUAUUGUGGCUCCAUCCUUUAUUCUAGUCAUCUGGAGGUUGCUGAUGGUUGGGUGGCUCAAGGGUAACAUCAAUGGAUCUUGUGCCAAUGAACGUGUUGGAUUUUGGGGGAUUUUUUCGCUCAUUGAAAGGUAGGGUACUUGGUGCUUUUGCAUCAAACAAAAAAAUUCAAAAGUUCAGUUACUACAUAAAUUCCUGCUUUCAUUGAGGCUAUGCGUAUAGCUUAGGUCGGAGAUUGGAAACAUUUAUGGAUUGAAAUAGACUCCAAGUUGGUUAUUCACUAUCUUUUUUAAGGCUCCUAAAGUGGUUCGUGGUUUGUUACGGUGGAUUGGAAUAAUUGUCUUUGUCAACUUCGUCAAAUGCGAUUUAUGUGUACACAUAUUUUAUAGAGAAGGAAAUCAGGUUGUAGAUGCUUUAGAUUCGUUUGGGGCAAUUAGUUGUGCAAAUUACUGUGGUUUAUGAUUCCAGAUUUUGUAGCCUCUGCUCAUACUCGUGACAUUUUGUUUUGUCUUUAUUAUCGUUUUCGUUGAUCCUUUUUUUUUGUCUUUGUGGGUAUUAGCAUAGUCCCUUGCUCAUAUCUUUUUCAUUUAUUUUUAUUUGUUAUCGAUAAAUUUGGUGGAUGAGGGACAUGAGAGGAGUUUUUGGGUGUAAUGGUCCUCACCCCUUUGGGCGGUUUUUGGGAGAGUAGAAAAUUACGUGGUCUAUUUUAAAAAUCACUCUAAACCUGGUAGGUGUAAAAUGUAGUUGACUUUCAUAGAAUUAUUAUCGCUGCACAUUCGUAAUCAAUUAGGGAAGCAAGUAGUAUAUCAACAUGUUUAGUUGAGGCUAAAUCAUUUGCGUAAAGGAGGAGGACAUGAUAGUCCUUCCUUAUUCAAAAUCACUAACGAAUAUAAAGGUCUAUUGAUCUAUUAUACUGAUUCGCUCAUCUCCGAUCCAUAAUACGUCUUCAAUGGAAGAAACACCUUCCCCGCCAAAGCGUCGAUUGUCGUGCGCCACCUACUUCGACGCCCUCUGGUUUUGCUAUUGUACGCUCCUCCUCCUCCUUUGCGUUCUCUUCCUCUUUCAUUUCGGACGAAUUAAUUUCACAAUUGUACGGCUGGCUUUUGCUGCGAUUUCCUUCAAAUUUGUGUACUUUUCGGCUCUUGUAACUUAAUUUUAAUUCAACAGAAACAUGGAUUUUGCAUAAUUGUUCAUAAAAUGUUUUAUAUAUGGUCGAUUUCAACUUGGUUUUAUUGAAUUUCUGGUGAAAUGGUUUUACUGCCAAUUUAAUUCCUGCCCACAAAUGAAGUUUGGUAAUUUCUGGCAAUUUCAUUGCUGCCCACUUAAAAAAGCUUCAAACUUGAUAGUCUUACAAGCUUAUAAAAGCAAAUUCUUGGUGGGUCUAUUAUUUUUUUUAUUUUUGACAAUUAAAUUUUGUGGAUGAUUCUUUGUGUCAGUGAAGCUUCAAACAUCUUUAAAUCUUAUUGCUAAUUGUUUCUGAUAUCAACAUUUUGUUUCUUCUAGAUGUUUGCUAUAUUACUCAUCCUAUUUUGGGGUUGUUUUGUUUAUUUUCAUCUCUUGCAUUUAAUCUGAUGGGUACUCGUGUUUGGCAGCUCCGGUGCAUCAGAUGCAGCAGUAUUAUAGACUUGGGUCACUUGAUAACUGUUCUGGGAAAUGGACUUCUCUGGUUGAUUGCUUGGUUUUGAAGACGAAGCGGUCAUCUGAAGUGCAGGUUUGAUUUUGAGUUUGGCUAUAUAUUUCCAUCCUUUUUCCGUGCGUUAAUGUAUUCCGCUUCAUUUCUGUGUCUUUCCAUUGGUAAUUGUACAACAUGCACUUCGAUAUUUUCCUUUGGCUUAUAAAUCAGAUUGCUUUAUUGGGGUUUCCCCUAAUUUAAGGCCUAUUUUGAGAAGUUGAUGUCUACCAAAAUCUAAAUACUUAGGACUGAUGGUGUGACAUCCUGCGUAGAAAAUCUCAAGCACUCACAACAACAAAAUGGAGUAGGAGAACAUAGACAUGGACACAUUGUUGAAACUGGUCUCACUUUAUUGUAUAAAUUGUUCUUUCCCUUCAAUUUUGGCUUCAUGCCAAUGCCACUAUAGUAGUUUUAAUUGAUCAUCUGACUAGUAGGUAACUGCUGCUAAAUCUCUGUGCAUGUAGCUAUACAUUCAUCCCAGGUUGUAGUUUCAAGGAUUUUUGAGGUGUUUGCUAUCCUCAUAUAAAGCCUUACCAUCUGCAUAAGUUACUAUCUAAAACUAAACAAUACACUUCUAGCAUACUCAUUGGAUUACUAAGUGUUUGUUUGUCUAGAUGAUGUAGGACAAUGUAAGGUGGGUGUUGCCGAUAAUUAUGGUGGACUAAGUAAUAGAUAUGAUUUAAAGCAAGAAAGUUUAGGGUCAAUGUGAUUUUAAAGAAAUUGGAAAAAUAGAAAAUAAUAGGGAGGACAGAGAGAAGAAAGUAAAGGAGGAGGUGUAGCUAGCCUUUAACAUGACAUACUUUUUCAUUAAACCAUAUUGAUUUUGCUUUAUAAGGAAUAGCCUUAGUUACAGGGAAAUAGAAUUCUCAAUGGCGGCUAGAAAUUUUAAAUGGCUCAUUAAAAUCCUAAAAGACUUAUCGGAAAGUAAACAAAAUAAGUAAGAGGGAGUUUAAUGAGUUUUCUCAUCAGUGUGUUGUGCAUUAGCAAUGUUGUGUUUCUUCCUUGUUGUCCUGGUAAAAGAAUUUGGGUUAGCCAGGGGGCUAUUUGCCCUUCCUUUCUUACCUUGAUAUUCCUUUCCUUCAUGCCCUUUGUCCUUAUAAGAUUACUAAAGUUCACAUUCUUGCUUGGUUGAUUUCAUGAAAAACUUAAAACCUUGGAUUUGUUUCAAAAAAAUAAAGCCCUACACUUCAUUGUUUCUUCAUUGGUGUAUACAAUACAGCUUUAAUGGUGAAUAUUCGGAUCACAUCUUACAUUUUUUCCAUUGCGACUCAAAUUUGGUACAUUGUGCUUCUUCCUUUGGGGUGGAUAGGGUGAUUCCAAGAAACUUUUACUCUUUGCUCUGCAAUUUCUUUUUGGUUAAUGGUUUUAACAAGAUAUUGAUCACCUUGUGAAACUGUGCUUUUUUGGCUUUUCUUUUUGGUGGUUUGGUGAAGUAUAAAUAGGGAAUGUUUUAGAAUAAAGAAGACAUUGUGGCUUCACCUUAGGACAAUCAUUUUUUUUUUCUUCCUUGUGGGCUUCUAGGUCUAAAACAUUGAAUGAUAUUACCCUUAGUGUGAUUCUUCUAGACUGUUCUUCUCUUUGAUAUUUGAUCUCGGUUUGGGUUGGGUGGGACUUGUUCAUCUUAUUUUGUACAGUCUCUUUAUAAAAAAUACCUUAAACUGAAAGACUCAUUAAAAUAAUAGGAGACUGAUAGAAAUUAAGUCCUUAGACAAAUGAAUCAGCUCUUAAUAGCACUUGACAUUGGCUAUUACACUCUUUUAAAUUAAGCAUUUUAUAGAUUCGAGUAUUGCAAGGUAUGAAGCAGGACUUGUGGGUUCUUGAAGUUGGUUAGACUACGAGGAACAUUCAAUCCAAUGCCAGUAAAUCACCACUACUAGUUUCCUUGUGUGUUGUGGACCUAAACCAAUUAAUAGGGGCCAAGAAACGAGCCACUGUGGCUUGGUCCUCCAUAGAAGUCGAAUAUUGACCCUAGACUAUCACAACAGCUGAACUCACCCCAGAAUUUUCAGCUAUUGAGUGAUUGCAUAUUUUUCUCCCCAUGCCAAUUGAAAUUUACCAUCACUUUGUUUUGGACGGUGUUUCACCAAAAGGAUUUGGCUAUUUGGUGCAUUGGAGUCCUACUGUUUAGGGAAGGAAAUGUGAGUUGGAUGGUUCCAGCUAAUUGUAAUUCUUUUUUGUGAAUUGGUUGCAAGUAGAGACCCCCCCCCUAAAGUGUUCCAUCCUUGUUGGGUGGUGGUUAGAAAGCAAAAAUUCUUGGUUUGCUGUGUCAAAAGGAUAUUUGGAAACUAUAUUGGGGUAGUUGAGAUGGAGUGAUGGGAUAAAGUUGCAGUCCUUUCCUUUGGGCUUCAGUGUUUUCUAAAUUUUGGGAUUAUCUUUUUCGGCUAUAUGAACUGAUUAAGAGGAGCUGUUCUUUAAUACUCAAAUUAGUUUUAAGUACCUGCUUGUGGAUUGUUGUCUAGCCUGCUUCUUGUACGUUAAGGGUGGAUAACUGGUCCACAACGUUUAUAGUUGAUCACUUCACAUAAGUUUUCAAUAAAGUACAUUUCCAGCACUGAUCAGCUUGUUAACAUUUUUGCCAUGCCCAUGUCCUCCAUUAAGUGAAAUAUGAAGCAAACAGAUGGUUGGUUCUCCUCCAUCCGUUUGAGGAUCUGCAAAAUUUUCUUUUAAGAAAUUUACAUCUAUUUGCCACCGAGGGAUAUGACUGAAAUUUAGUCUCGCUUGUCAAUCAACAACAACAACAACAACAACAAAGCCUUUUCCCACCCAAAACCUUAUUUAAAUUUUUUGAAUUCUUGUCGUGUAAUAAAAAAAAUGAAUUUGGUCGAGUGAAUAAAUGGGUAGAGCCCUACUACGGUUCCAAUUAUAGGGAAACAAAAAGUAAUGAGCUUCUGUUCUUAAUUUUUGAAUGAUUACCCGAUCUAAUUAGACGUUAAAAAUAUAUUAGUGCUUAAUACGGGAAAAACUUUUCCCAUGAGUGGAUUAUAAAUUUCUUAUGAGUCCUAAUUA